rnacentral:lncRNA from 1 species
AUCUUUUCUCUACAAACUCAGAUUUAGCCUAAGGUAACAACCUUUCUUAGAUUAAAUAUAUUCCAUACUCAGUUACAGCUGCAUAACAUUAUCAUAUCAUUCAUGCCUUCAUGAAACAGUUCAGUCAUGUGUCAUGUCUCCAGAAUUCAGUCAUGCUUCAAUUAUGCAUGUCAGUGUAAGUACAGUUCUCUAGUUUCUCUCAGUUCAGUCAGUCUUAUUCAAGGAUAAAUGUUUGCAAGGAGGAGAUAUUAUAAGAUCCCGUAAAAGUUUUAGUUUAAUACAGUCCCAUAGAGCUUGUAAUAAGGGGUCCUAGACUUAGAAAAAUCCAGCUAAGUAUUAAGACUUAGAAUUAUUUUUAAUCUUCAUAAUUGGAUGAUCUUAUUUUCGAUCCUUGACCUUAUAUUAUCAAUUUUUAAAGUGAUUCAUGAUAAGGGAUGCCAAUAGGUUAUCUUGGGUGAGUUUUACAAUUUUCAAAUAGCGUUUGAGUCAUGUUUGGAUGACCAAAAUAGCAAGACAACACGAUCUCGAUGCAUCACGUUGGCUAUUGCAUUGACAGUAUCAACGUAACACGUCGGCCAUCGCAUCAACACCAUCAACAUGAUGUGGUGCCUACUGCAUUGCUGGGCACGCUUUUCUCAUUAAAUUCCUACUUUCCAAGGGAAAUUAGGUCCUUUUCCCCUCAUCUAAUUCAGCUAAAACACGAAAUUAAGCUUUCAAAAGGGAAAAAUACAUUUAUUAUUCACAAAAUCCUCUCAAGAAAUAAACCCUAGUUCAUCAAGCUCAAGAUCAAGUUCUAAGAAAUUCCCAAUAAUCUUUACGAAUUCUGUCACCCAGGUAUGUUAGGUGUUCAUCCUUGGGUUUCCUUCCACCCUUGGAGUUCAAGAAACCUUUUUAAAACUAUAAGUUUUUAGUUUCAUGAUUUACAUAUGCAGAUUGGGUUGUAUUUAUGUUUGUGUUGUUGUAUGGGUUUUCAAUUCAAGAUUUAAUUAUAAGUUUCAUGAACAUAAGAUAGCAUGUAUGUUGAUUGACGUAAAUCCCAUGUCAAAAACCUUGAAAUUGUAAGUUUAAGUUGUAGUCAUAAUGCUUAUGUGUUGUUCAUUAUUAUGUGCAUUAGUAAUGCUCCCCAAGUGUUUGAUAAAAUGUCCAUGUGAAUUGAAUAGUGUAAUCAUGACAUGUUAGCAUGUGUUCUCAUUCAUGUACAAGUUCAUGACCUCAGUGUUUGACAAAAUAUCUUAGUGAAUGAAUUGUGAACAAUUGACUAUUGCUAUGCUUUCAAGAUUUGCUAUGUUUUAUCUAUUAUACUAUCGAGUUCUAGGGGUAUUUAUUACCCAAAAUCUAGUUGUUUACUUAGUCGCAGUUGUUAUAGACUAGUCCUAAUAAUGGUCAAGAACAGUAGCACUCAGUUAGUUAAUAGAACAUAGUGAACUCAGUCCAGUACAGUCAGUCUACACGAUCAGUGUCAGUUUAGUUAAGCCUAGUACAGUUUAGUGAUCAGUUUAGUGUCGAUUUACUUGGGAGUAGUAUUUAGCUCCAAGAGAACUCAUAGAUGGGGGCAUUACUACCAGCAGAGGGUUUGACCCUUAGAAGCAGUCCCAGCAUUAUAGAACUAUGUAGCCAGCAUAAGGUAUGUCGUCCUUCUGCCACACUAGGAUUGACACAAUCAUAUAUAUAUAUAUAUUAUUAGUUUUCCUGCCAGAUUAGGGUUGACACAGCAUUGUUAGUAUCCUAUGGUAAAGAGUGAACACCCUUCCAACUUGGGUCAUAAGUUGGACCCUGAAUCAGUCUAUAUCGGGGUAUAUCAAUUAGAUGAACACUCUUAUAGUUACAAUUUCAGUCUCAGUACACAGUAAAGAACUCAGUCAGUUCUAAAAACCAUCGCUAUCAGUUAUCAGUUACUUCAUAAUGUUCAUUCAGUCAGUAAUCAGCUCAUGCAUACAAACCCAUGUUUAUCAGCCUUACCUCACUUAGCAUACCAGUACAUUCCAAGUACUAACACAUACUCUUUCUUUGGGCUAUGAUGUAUUUUACCAUAGGUUUGGACGCUCAGGUUCCUAACCGUACUUAGCAGCUCAGGCUAUCAGCAGCUAUGAUAGUGGUGAGUCCUCUUAUUUUGAGGAUAGAGUUUAUUUAUUUUAGUAUUUCAGUAGUUCAGUAGUUAUUUCAGUCGAAGUUAGUUGGGGGUUUGUCCCAUCAACUCCAUAUUCAGACAGUUAGAGGCUUUCAAACUAGCAUAGUCAGUUAUUCAUUUUUCAAAUGUUAUUAUCAGUUAUACUUAGUAUUAUUUUAGUAUUUUGAGAACCUUAUCACAUUUUCAGAUUUCUUUCGCAUAUAUAUUUUAGUAUUAUAUUAUGUGCUUACAGCAGGUACCAGUCAUGGGUUAGCUUGUGGUCCUUCGGGGUCGUAAGCACCGUGUAACACCCAGGAUGUAGUCUUGAGACAUUACAAACUUGGUAUUAGAUCCUAAGUUUCUAAAGAAUCCUACGGAGUUUGAAAGCCUCAUCAAGUAGAGUCUUGUGCAUGGGUAUACAGCGUGCCACACUUAUGGACAAGAGACUAUGAGGCAUUUUAGGAAAAAGUUCCCUUAUUUUAGUGUCCAUAUCGUGCGAGUGAGCAUGAUCUCAAGUUAAAAUCUCUGUCUAAUCUAAUUUUUCCUUUUGUUUAUAGAACAUGCCUCCCAAAAAGACCAACGAAAGAAGAACUAGGAACCAGCCUGCACCUCCGCCCGUUCAGAAAGAUCCCCUAAAUAAGCAUGUUUCUCAUGCAAAUUUUAGAGUAACUUUCACCACUCUAGCUCAUUAUGUAGCAGCCCAAAAUAAAUGCCUAACUGUUGUUCAGUCCAAUCCAGUGGUAAAUACUAUUGCAGUUAGAAUUUAGGACUUUACCUGGAUGAACCCUCUUAUAUUUUUAGGGUCUAAGUCUGAAGAGGACCCACAAGAAUUUCUUGACGCAGUGCAGAAGGUCAUAGAAAUUAUGGGGGUAAUCGCUAGUGAGAGUGCUGAGUUAGCUGCUUAUUAGUAUAUGAUAUUCCAAAAAUAUCUUUUAGAACUCGGUAUGGUCACUUCAAAUUUCUAGUCAUGUCAUUUGGUUUUACCAAUGCCCUAACAACUUUCAUAGACUUGAUGAACCAAGUGUUCAAGAAGUACUUGGACAUGUUCAUCAUAGUCUUCAUCGAUGACAUUUUGGUCUACUCCCACAGUGAGAAUGACCAUACAGACCAUCUCAGAAUAGUAUUACAGACUCUCAGAGCCCAUCAGUUAUUUGCCAAAUUUAGUAAAUAUGAAUUUUGGCUAAGGUCAGUAGCUUUCCUUGGUCAAUUAUUUUUCGUGAUGGCGUUAGAGUUGAUUCUCAAAAGACCAAAGCAGUGAGAAACUAGCCUAGACCCAUCUUUCCAUCAGAUAUCAGGAAGUUUCUUGAGUUUGGCUGGUAUUACCGAUGGUUUGUUAAAGGAUUUUCAUCUAUUGCAUCCCCUAUGUCCAUAUUGAUUCAGAAUAAAGUUAAGUUUCAGUGGUCAGAUUCUUGUGAGAAGAUUUUUCAGGAGUUGAAGACUCUACUCACUACAACCCCAAUUUUGACUUUACCCGACGGUUCAAAUAGAUUUUUUGUAUAUUAUAAUGCUUCCAGAGUUGGCUUGGGGUGUGUUUUGAUACAGAGGGGUAAGGUUGUGGCCUAUUCCUCUAGACAGCCUAAUCCCUAUGAAAAGAAUUAUCCCACCCAUGAUCUUGAAUUAGCAGCUAUUGUAAUUGCCUUACAGAUUUAGAGGCACUAUUUGUAUGGGGUAAAUGUUGAUUUAUUCACAAACCACAAAAGCCUGUAGUAUGUAUUUUCUCUAAAAGACUUGAACUUGUAUCAUAAAAGGCGGUUAGAGUUGUUAAAAGACUAUGACAUGAGUGUUCUGUAUCAUUCGGGUAAGGCUAAUGUAGCAGCAGAUGCCCUCUAUAGGUUAUCCAUAGGUAGUGUUGCUCACAUUGAGGAUGGUAAGAAGAAGUUAGUUUAGGAAGUUCAUCAUCUUGCCAGACUAGGUGUCCGUUUGUUUGAUUUGGCUGAGAGUGGUGCAUGGGUGAAGAAUAGUUCUAAAUCUUCUUUAGUUUCUGAGGUAAAAUAAAAGUAGGACAGGGAUCCCAGUUUAGUUUAGAUGAAAGAGUUAGGCAAAGACCAAAAAGUAGAGGUUUCUCCCAAGGAGGAGAUGAUGUGUUGUUUACCAGGGUAGGCUUUGUGUGCCAGGUAUAGUUUUCUUAAGGCAGCAAAUUCUUGUAGAAGCGCAUGGUGUGCGUUACUCAAUUCAUCCAGGGGCCACUAAGAUGUACCGAGACUUGUGGGAAGUCUAUUGGUAGAGUGGGAUGAAAAGGGAUAUUGCAGAGUUUAUAGCUAAGUGUCAAUGUGUCAGCAAGUUAAGAUUGAACAUCAGAAUCCUAGUAGGUUUAUGUUGGAGUUCAGUAUUCCCACUUAGAAGUGGGAGAAAGUAAACAUGGAUUUUGUGAUAGGUUUGCCUCUUACUCGUCUUUAACCUGAUUCAAUUUGAGUCAUUGUGGACAAGAUGACCAAAUUAGACCAUUUCUUGCCAGUUCAUACCUCUUAUUCAGUCGAGGACUAUGCUAGGCUCUAUAUUAGAGAUUUGGUUAGGUUACACAGUGUCCCAUUGUCCAACACUUCAAAUAGAGGUACACAGUUCACCUCUUACUUUUCAAAAGCCUUCCAAAAGGGUCUUACUAUCUAUGUCCACCUCAGUAUAACCUUUUACCCUUAGACGGAUGGUCAAGCAGAAAGUACCAUUCAGACUUUAGAAGAUAUAUUGAGAGCAUGUGUUGUUGACUUUAAGGGUAGUUGAGAUGACCACUUACCUUUAAUUAAGUUUGUAUAUAAUAACAACUAUCAUUCUAGUAUUCAUAUGGCUCCAUUUGAGUCUCUUUAAGGGAGAAGAUAUAUAUCUCUCAUUAGUUAAUUUGAGAUAGACGAGGCCAUGGUAGUGGGGCCUGACUUGGUUUUUAAAGCUUUAGAGAAAGUGAAGUUGAUCAGGGAGAGGCUUAAGACAGCCCAGAGCCGAUAGAAAUCUUAUGUAGAUAUGAGAAGGAAAUAUCUUGAAUUUGAGACUGGUGAUUAUGUGUAUUUGAAAAUCUCUCCCAUGAAGGGGGAGAAGAGGUUUGGUAAGAAAAGAAAACUUAGUCCCCGAUAUGUUGAUCCUUAUAGGAUUCUGAGUCAUUUCGAUAAGAUAGCUUAUGACCUUGAGUUACCUGCAGACUUAGCAUCAGUGCACCCAGUGUUUCACGUCUCCUCGCUAAAGAAGUGCAUUAGUUACCCAACAGUUAUAGUCCCUAUAGAGCGUGUAGAUGUUCAGAACAACCUCUAUUAUGAGGAAGUCCUAGUCAAAAUCCUUGAUCAUCAGAUUCACAGACUAAGGAACAAAGAAGUUCCUUUGGUUAAAGUUCCUUGGUGGAAUUAGUCUGCUAAGGGAGCUACUUAGGAAGCAGAAGCAUACAUGCAAACCAAGUACCCUUAUGUCUUCUCUGCAAACUCAGACUCAGCCUAAAGUAACAGCCUUUCUUAAAUUUUCUAUAUUCCAUACUCAGUCACAGCUACAUAACAUUCUCAUUUCAUUCAUGCAUUAUGAAACAGUUCAGUCAUGUGUCAUGUCUCAAAAUUCAGUCAUGCUUCAGUUAUACAUGUCAAUGUAAGUGCAGUUCCUCAGUUACUCUCAGUUCAAUCAGUCUCAUUAGAGGAUGAAUGUUCCCAAGAAAGAGAUAUUAUAAGACCCCGUAAAAGUUCUAGUUAAAUUCAGUCCCAUAUAGAUUAUAAUAAGAGGUCCCAGACUUAGAAAAAUUCAGCUAAGUGUUAAGACUUAGAAUCAUUUUUUUCCUUCGUAAUUGAAUGAUCUUAUUUUCAAUCCUUACAACCUUAGAUUAUCGAUUUUUAAAUUAAUUCAUGAUCAAGGAUGUCAAUAGGUCAUUUUGGGUGAGUUUUGAAAUUUUCAGACAUUGUUUGAGUUAUAUUUGGAUUACCAAAAUUGCAAUCCAACACGAUCUCGAUGUGUUGCGUUGGCUAUCACAUCGACAAUAUCGACGUAGUGUAUCAGCCAUCGUGUUAACACCAUCGAUAUAGUAUGUUGUCUGCCGUGUCCCUGGGCACAUUUUGCUCAUUAAAUUCUGACUUUCCAAGGGAAAUUAGGUCCUUUUCCCCUCACCCAAUUAGCCAAAACACGAAAUUAAGCUUCCAAAAGGGCAAAAUACAUUCAUUAUUCACAAAAUCCUCUCAAGAAAUAAACCCUAGUUCAUCAAGCUCAAGAUCAUAUUCUAAGAAAUCUCAAACCAUCUUCACAAAUUCGUCACUCAGGUAUGUUACGUGUUCAUCCUUGAGUUUCCAUCCACCCUUGGAGUUCAAGAACACUUUUUAAACUACAAGUUUUCAGUUUCAUGAUUUACAUGUGCAAAAUGGGUUGUAUUCAUAAUUGUGUUGUUGUAUGGGCUUUAAAUUCAAGAUUUUAUUAUAUGUUUCAUGAACAUAAGAUAACAUGUAUGUUGAUUGAUGUAAUUCCCAUGUCAAAACCCUUGAAAUUGUAUGUUUAAGUUGUAGUCAUGAUGCUUAUGUGUUGUUCAUUAUCGUAUGCAUUAGUUAUGCUCCCCAAGUGUUUGAUAUAAUUUUCAUGUGAAUUAAAUAUUGUAAUCAUGACAUGUUAGCAUGUGUUCUCGUUCAUGUACAAGUUCUUGACCUCCAAAUGUUUGACAAAAUAUCUCAGUGAAUAAAUUGUGAACAAUUGACUAUUGCUAUGCUUUCAAGAUUUGCUAUGUUUUAUCUAUUAUGCAAUCGAGUCCUGGAGUUAUUUAUUACCCGAAAUCUAGUAGUUUACUUAGUCGCAAUUGUUAUAUACUAGUCCCAAUAAAGGUCAAGAACAUUAGCACUCAGUUAGUUAAUAAAACUCAAUAAACUCAGUCCAGUACUGUCGGUCAACACAAUCAGUGUCAGUUCAGUCAAGUCUAGAACAGUCUAGUGAUCAGUUUAGUAUCGAUUCAGUUAGGAGUACGAUUCAGCACCGAGCGAACUCAGGGAUGGUGGCAUUCCCACCAGUAGAGAGUUUGAUCUUUAUAGCAGUCCUUGCAUUAUAGAACUAUGUAGCCAGUAUAGGGUAAGUUGUCCUUCUGCCAGAAUAGGGUUAAUGCAUAUAUAUACAUAUGUAUAUAUAUAUAUAUGUAUAUAUGUGUGUGUAUAUAUAUAUAUAUAUAUAUAUAUAUAUAUUUCAUGAGUUUUCUUGUUAGAUUAGGGUUGACCCAACAUUGUUAGUAUCCCAUGGCAAGGUGCUAAUACCCUUCCAACUGAGGUCAUAGGUUGGACCCCAAAUCAGUAUAUAUCGGGGUAUGUCGAUUAGAUGAACACUCUUAUAGUUACAGUUUCAGUCUCAGUAUACAGUAAAGAACUAGGUCAAUUCUACAGAACCAUGGCAAUCAGUUAUCAGUUACUCAGUCAUCAGAAUUCAGCACUCAGUUUCAGCAUAAUCUCAUAUAUAUGAUGUAUAACUAUAUGCGCUGUAUAGCAUGUUCAGUAUGUUUAGUAGUUAUAGUUUUGUAUAUACUUCAGCCUUGACGGGUAUCAACAUAUCAUCAUAAUAUCCUCCGGCCUUGCUGGGUAUCAAUAUAUUAUCAUAAUAUCCUCCAGCCUUAUCGGGUAUCGUCAUAUCAUCAUAAUAUUCUUCGACCUUGUUGGGUAUCUUCAUAUCAUUAUAAUAUCCUCCGGCAUUGUCGGGUAUCAUCAUGUUAUCAUAAUGUCAUCUGGCCUUACCAGUUAUCUAUAUAUCAUCCACAUUAAUAUCAAUAAUAAAGAACAAGUACCACGAGGUCUAACGUAAAAAAACAAGCCCACACAGGGCUAAAGUAAAUAAAUAUAAAAGAAGAAGAAAUAAGAGGUUAUAGAUAAUUCCUCGUUCGUCAUCAAUGUCACAUUCUUAUUAAGUAUAUAUAUGAAGCAUAAAUAUCAUAAAAUAUCCUUGAGUUUUCCCCGAUUCAUAUAUCUUCAACACCAACAUCUUUCUCCAUCCUAUACCAGAGAGGUGGGUAUAUAAAUAUGUGUAACAAAUGUCAAAAGCAUUAGCAUAAUUAAUCAUCUAAUAAAGUAUCAUAAGUCCAAGCAUAAUCUAUAGAAUAAUUUCACAUAUAGUCAAUAAGCAGGCCUUCUAGCACCAUUAACCAUAUAAUUUCUAAUAUCGACAAUAAGGAAGAUUUCCAAUAUGAUUAUUAGCAUAAUUAUUAAGCAUGGUCAUAGCAUGAGCAGUAGCAUAGUCAACGGCCCAUCUACUAACCUAAAUAAUGGCUUAAUCAAUAACGUAUACAAGGUCCUAAUCAAGAGUGACAUCACUAGCUCGCCAUUGCAUAAUCAAUAGUCUAGUUAAUUAGACUAUGAGAACAACCAUAAGUGACAUCAUGAACAAUGUCCCAUUAGUAACACAUUCAUUGGCCUAUCAUUAUCAUAAAGGUAGAUUAUCACUAACUGGAGCAAUAGCAAAUCCAUGGCACAAUCUAUAGCUUAUUAAUAACAUAGUCAAUAACAUAACAUAUGGCUUAGGCCAUAUCAUAGUCAAGGGCUCAUUCAAUAGCAUGACAGUUAGCCCAAUAAAUAGACAAUCACAAUAACAUAAUCAAUAGCUCGUCAUAAGCUUUAGACAAUAAAACAUACAUAAGGCAUAAUCACUUAGGCAUUAUCCCCAAUGCCAUUCAUCAUAACCAACAAGUAACAAGAUUCGUCAAUAUUGCCUCAUAAAGGAACUCUAGACCUUUACUAAGCGUACAAGGGUUCAAGAGAUCUAAUAUUCAAUCUUGUCUAAAGGUAGGUUAAGAAGCCCACUUCUAAAUCCUCAAAAUACAUUUUAAGUCAAUUUCUACCCCAGACUAGGCUAAGGAUUUUAAAUCAACUCUUAGAUGUAUAGCAAGCCACAAUAAUACCCAAGGUAGAUAUUAUACUAAAUGAUAAAAGACAACAAUGGGAGAAACAAAAUUGUCUCAAAACAUUCCAAACAUACACCAAAAAAAUAGCCCACAAGUUCAAGAGAACCGAGGACCAAGAUGGUGACCACUCUCGGAUUCAAGAACAACAACAAGAACGCGGUAUAACAAGGUAUUUAACACCUAUUUCAGCCAACAAUCCCAAACUAUAUUACAACAAUAAAAUGAAGAACAACAAUGUUACAAAAACAAGACCCCCAUGGGUUCACCAACAAGACAAGGAAAAUCAAAACUAAAACAAGAUACAAGAUAGAUAAUUAGACACGUGAUGGUAUAAUCUUAAGAACCCAAGAGCAUAUUCCACUCUUGAACUUUUAACACUACACACGCCAAACACUUAACUCCUACGUUAACACAAGAGGGACUUUACCUCCUCUAAAAACCAAUGCCUCAAGCCAAAAUGCAACACAAAUGUCUCCACACUUGGAAUCCCUAGUUAUAGGUGGGGUGACUUUUCCAAGCCCUACUCUAAAGUGAUACACGCUCAAGAGAGAGACUUAGGUGUUACAAAUAUUUUAUGUCUUGAAAAUAAUUAACCAAAUGUAAAAUAAACCCUAAAGAACUAAUUAUAGCUAUUAAAAAAUGAGGACAAAAUAACCUCCCUACCCUUAAUGAGGGGAACCUAAGGAGUGUAUUUUGGCACAAUGAAGUGACCAAAAUGCCUGUAAUACCUCAAAAAAUCCAAACCAAUAUUAGCGUCAUAUUUCAAGCUCAUGCAUAGUACAUAAUGGUUCUUGUAUAGUUUUAUGAGCAAGUUAGACAUAUAUUAAGUCUUCAAAAAACUCCAAGCUAUCAAACAAAUCAAAACAUUUCUUACAGAUUGAAUUCUUGGGAAGGAUAUUGCCAUAGUCAACUUCAAACAAACAUAUCUCUUGUUUUACUAUUAAUUUUUGAGCUUAUGACCCACCAAUAGAUAGAUAAUUGAAUUAUAUUUCUAAAGAUACUAAUUUCGCCUAAAUUUGGUAUUGGAGCUAAAAGUUAUACCCAUUUUACUCAACCAUGUAAGCCUAAAAACUGAGUGACGAUAUUUCUGACGACUUAUUACAAUUCUGACGACAUUUCUGAUAACCUAUCACAUUUCUGAUGACAUUUCUGGUGACUUAUCAGUAAUGUCAUUAGACUUAGGAAAAAUGUCAAAAAUUCUAGCUCCCAGGUGAUGACCUAGACUGACGGGCUAUCAUAGAUUUGGCGGCUUAUCAGCCUUGGCCGUCAGUUGAUAAUUUCAUCAACUAGGAGGUAAUUUUGUGGGGGUAUUUUUGUUUUUUCCUCACUCUAAAAAUGGAAUUAAAGCCCUAAUAAGGAUAUUAUCCCAUUAUUUUCUCAUUUUCCUCAAGAAUAAGAACAUUUUCUCCCAAAGGGGUUAAACCCUAGUCAAAAAAAUCAAGAGCAAGCCUAAGGAUUUCUUCAAGAACCAUCAAGAAACAUUAGAUCACUUUCAAGAUCAAGCUUUAUGGUAUACGUAGUGUUCAUCCACGGAUUCCUUUCAUCCAUGGAGUUCAAGAACCCUUUUUUAAACUAUGAAUCAUGAAGUUAUGUUGUAGGUUGAUUAUGUUUAUGUGAUUGAUUGUUAUACAACUCCCAAAUUAGAAUCUUUAUAUGAUUUUAUGAAACUAGGAUGAUAUGCAAAUUGAAAUAUAUGAAUUUUGGGUGGUUUAAAUCAUUAAGGUGAUGAAUAUGCCUAUGCCAUAAGGUGUGCAUGCAAGGUGUUUGAUAGAAGACCUAAGAGACUAGAAAUCAUGUAUUAUAGCUAAAUAGAACUUAAAUGACAAGACCAUGCUCUAUUCCUUAUGACUCAACAUAAAUUCCAUAUUAAUUGUUGUGUCUUUUUGUUGUGAUAUGUAAUGCUCAUGAAAUUUAAGUUAUGCAAGUAUUUUACAUGUUAUAUGCAUUCCCUUUCAUGUAUAUGGUGUUGAGAAACAUAUGUAGUAUGAAAUAUCCUACUUAUGGUAUUAUGAAUUGUGGAUGUUAUUCCUAUGAUCAAGAAGUGUCAUGUGUGUCAGUUUCCUUCCAUCAAGUCAUUGGGGUACUUGUACCCAAAAAAUAUAGUUGUGUGCCUAGAGCCAAGUUAUGUUUUCACGAUAUCCUCAGUCAAGCCAUGAUCUAUAGAAACCAGUUAUGUGACUUAGAAAAACUCAAAAACCUCAGAAAUCUCAGUAAAUCUCAGUAGUUUAGCAAUCUCAGUGUUCUCAAUACUCAAAAAUCUCAGUAACCUCAGUAUUCCCAUUAAUCUCAGUAAUCUCAUAAACCCAGUCAGUUGUUAGAUAUCAGUAGUAUUCCGUUAGUCAUAAAACUUAGUAAACUCAGUCCAGUUCAGUUUAGUAAUCCAUGUUCAGUAUCUAUUCAUAUGGGAGUAGAAGUUAGCACCAAGUGAACCCAAGGAUAGGCACUCACCUGCCAGUAGAGGGUGUGACUCCUAGAAGCAAUCCUUGCAUUCUAAAACUACAUAGCCAGCGUAGGUUGAGACAUCAUACCUAUUAGUUGAGGGUAGAUGAGGUGGCCUAACCUGCCAGUAAAGGGUUUCCAUCAUUCUCAUUUUAAGUAUUGCCAGUAGAGGGUUCUUAUAGUCUGUCUUUAUCAAUGGUAUGGUAUUGACACCCUUUCAGUCAGGUUAGAGAUUGGAUCCCAGUUUAGAUAUAUUGGGACAUAUGGGGCAUGUCAUUUAAACAACUACCUCCUACAUUUCAGUAUCAAUCUCAGUAAAGGAACUCAGAUAGUUCUUCAGAUUUUCAAGACUGUCAGAUACAGUUAACUCAGUUACAGUAAGGAACUCAGAUAGUUCCAUUAGACUCAGGACUAUCAUAUACAGUCAUUCAUGUUAUCAGUCAUAUUAGAACCCCAGUUAGUUUAGCAUGGGGCAUGUCGGUUAGGUGAAUACAUCCUAUAGUUUUAGUUACAGAAUCAGGACUGUCAGAUAUAGUUAAUUCAGCUGAGUAAUACAGAUUCAGGACUGUUUGAUACGGUCAAUCCUUAUCAUUAUAAAUAGACUUAAGGAUCAUUCACUAGAUGAUCUCAACUAUGGUCAUCAAUAUCAAUAUCAUCAGAUUUAGAGAUCACCUACAAGCCAGGACUGAUCUCAGAAGAAGUUAAUUCAUCUUUAUUAAUAAUAUACUCAAAUAUCACCCACUAGAUAGGACUGACCUUAGAUUCAGCUACUCCAUACAGAAUGGAACUCAGAUAGUUCCAUUAGAACUUAGACUGUCAGGUACAGUCGCUUAGUAUCAGUUACAUAAGUUAGGCUGAUCAUCAUAGUUAUAUCAGUUAUAUCAGUCAUCAUAACUCACGAUAUCACUAUUCAAUUUUAAUAUUGUUAGACACAGUCAAUCAGACCAGUUCUUUAUAAUUCGAACUGUCAAAAAUUGUUGUUCAUUCAUACUUUAGUGUUUUUCAAUUUUGUUUUGGUAUUGUGAUACCACCUUAUUUAGACGUUAUUAUUAUUCAGAUGUUUAUCCAGUUUGAACCUUAUGGCCUUUUAGUUCAUGUUUCCAUGUUUUCCAAUAUUUUAUGCAGUAUACAGGUACAAAUAUUAGUCAUGGGUUAGCUUAUGGUCCUUCAGGGUUAUGAGCACCGUGUAGAAUUUCGAUUUAGAAAAUUGGGGCAUUACAAACUUGGUAUCAGAGCCUAAGGUUCAAUAGAGUCCUGGGAAGUCUGAAAGUCGCAUCUAGUUGGCUAUAAGAUGUUUUAGGAAUAAUUUCCCUUCUUUUAUAUUUUAGAUCAUGCUAUAUAAAGGUUUCCUAAGAAAAUCAUGUAGAUUCUCAUCAUGCUCCACUCAUGUAAACUUCACCUUACUUUCAAGGUAACAGAAGUAAUAAAGUUUAAGUCCUAUAGAUAAGGCUUUCUCAAACAGUCCCUACAGACAGUUAUGGAAUUUCCCACAUGCUCGACAGUAACCCAUCAAUUUAGUUAUAUCCCAAAGUUGUAUGGAUUUCAUUCAUAAACAUGAGAACUCAUUCUUGAACCUAAAUUUAGAUAUGCCACCAGAUCCCUUCUCAAAAUCCUAUGAUAGCAUAGACUAAAGUUAGAAGCAUGAACCCAGGGGUUUAGCGGUAAUGGAGUUUGGAUAAUAUUAUUCGGAUUGAUUAGAUUAUGUAUUCAUGGGGAUAGUUGUGCCAGAAUAAAUCAGUAGGCUUGAACAGUGUGAGUUAAAAAUUUAAGUUUAUUGACUUGAAAUUAAGCAUGAAGGUGUAAUGUGAUAUUAGUAGUAUAUGAGGAAAAAGAGGCAAAUAAUGUGAUUCGUAAGGUAAGCAUGUGUCAAUCAGAGUGUAAGUAUGUGAUGCUGAUUGCAGUUCAGUUCCGAGAUUAGUAUAGUAUUCACAGACUUAUGAUGAUGGCUUAAAGCUAAGGGGGAGAUGGUAGAUUAAGUACCUAAGUUAGGCUCUCAGAUUUCAGUAGCAGUGCCAGUAUGUAUAGAAAAAUAGUUAGGUAAGACGAUUCCCGACAUAUCUUUAUCUCAGUGUAAAGUUUUGCACUCCAGUCAGCAUAAUGCCUACACAUGUUUCAUAACUUAGUUCCAUGAACAGAACUUAUAUUCACUCAUUUUUCAUUGAAUCUUAUGCGCUUUCAGUUCCCCGCAUAAGAAGUUCUAGCUCACUUAGUAUUCUGAAUUAUGUCUCAUGAACAUAGAAACUCCAACCUCAGGUCAUGCAUCUCAUGACUCAUGUACGCAUGUCACUUUUUAUAGAUUGCUCAGUUCCCAUUACUCAUGUUACACUCCUAUUGAUCAGUUAAUCCAGGAUAUGUCAUGUAUAUCCUCAGUUCAGACCUUUUGGGUACAUCCAUAUUAUUGAUAUCCUAUGUCUUAGGCCUCAGUCAUGUGUCAAGUUCAGCUAGUGUCCAUUCAUGUUUUAGUUCCUCUUAAUUCAACCCCUUUAGUAAGCUCUCUUUGUGAGAAUAGUAUAGUGAUAAGCAAUUGCUUAGAUAAGUAAGAGAGUAAAUAAUAUAUGUUAAGAGAAGAUUGUUACAUGCUUGUUUUACACGAGGGUAUAGUUAUGGAGAUAGGCUUGAAUGUCAUGCUAACACGUAAAUAAAUGACUAGCAAGAGGUUGUACUUAGAAAUUAAGAAAAAACAAAUUUAGAGUAUGAGUGUACAUUCAGAUCCUUGAUUUAUGACAGCCUUUAUUAUGCGACUAUCUUAACUCAAUUUCCAUAUCAGUUACAAUCCUAGUUAUAAUGUAUGCUUCAGUUCAGUAAUUAUCUCAGUUCAUGUGUCAUGCCUCAGUUUCAGAUCUCAUAUAAUCAGUCGUGAGUUAGUUUCCAGGUGCCUUGCGCAUCGCCUCAGCCUCCCUCAGUAACUCAGCCAAUUCAGUAUUUUGUGAGGGACCUAGUGUCUCAAGGGGGAAAUACGCUAUGAUUCCCUGAACUUUCAUAACAUAAGCAUUCCAUUCUCUCUUUAUGUAAUAAAUCUAGUAUGGAGUAGGGGAUACUCAUAAGUUGACCCUUAAGCUCUAACCUCAGUUGCAAGCCAUGUAUUACAGACUUAGUUCAGUUCAUGUAUCACACUCAGACUCAGUUAUGUUCUCAUGUUUCUGCUCAUGCAUAUUGAGUAAUUAGUCUCAGACUCAUCAGUAUUUUUAGUUCAAGGUAACAGUUUUCUUUGAAGUUACUCAUUCUCAUGUUUAGAUUUUAGUAACAAACUUGGUAUUCGGUUCCAUGCUCAGUUUUUAGUUCAAACUUGGUAUUUUUACCAUUACAUGUUCAGUCACAUAUUCAUGAGUUAGUUCAGUUAUGUAUUCACGCAUCAGAUAUGCGUGAUCAGCUUACCAGUACUUCUAGUCAUGUAUUCACAUAUCAUGUCAAUCAUAAAAUUAGGCAUCAAAUAUGCAUUCUUAUUAUGAGAAACUCAAUUCAUCAGUUAUACGUAUUCUUAUAUGCAUUCUUAUUACCAGUACUUUCAGUCAUGCAUUGAGUGAUUGAUUGUUAUAAAACUCCCAAAUUAGAAUCUUUAUGUGAUUUUAUGAAACUAGGAUGACAUACAAAUUGAAAUAUAUGAAUUUUGGGUGGUUUAAAUCAUUAAGGUGAUGAAUAUGCCUAUGCCAUAAGGUGUACAUAUAAGGUGUUUGAUAAAAGAUCUAAGAGAAUAGAAAUCUUGUAUUAUAGCUAAAUAUAACUUAAAUGACAAGACCAUGCUCUAUUCCUUACGACUCAACAUGAAUUCCAUGCUAAUUGUUGUUGUGAUAUGGAAUGCUCAUGAAAUUGAAGUUAUGCAAGUAGUUACAUGUUAUACGCAUUCCCUUUUAUGUAUAUGGUGUUGAGAAACAUGUGUAGUAUGAAAUCCCCUACUUAUGGUAUUAUGAAUUGUGGAUGUUAUUCCUAUGAUCAAGAAGUGUCAUGUGUGUCAGUUUUCUUCCAUCGAGUCCCGGGGGUACUUGUACCCAAAAAAUAUAGUUGUGUACCUAGAGCCAAGUUUUGUUUUUAUGAUAUCCUCAGUCAAGCCAUGAUCCAUUGAACUUAGUCAGUCAUAUGACUCAGGAAAACUCAGAAACCUCAGAAAUCUCAAUAAAUCUCAGUAGUUUAGCAAUCUCAGUGUUCUCAAUACUCAAAAAUCUCAGUAACCUCAGUAUUCUCAUUAAUCUCAGUAAUCUCAUGAACCCAGUUAGUUGUCAGAUAUCAGUAGUAUUCCAUCAGUCAUAAAACUUAGUAAACACAGUCCAGUUCAGUUUAGUAAUCCAUGUUCAAUGUCUAUUCAGAUGGGAGUAGAAGUUAGCACUGAGUGAACCCAAAGAUAGGAACUCACCUGCCAGUAGAGGGUGUGAUUCCUAGAAGUAAUCCUUGCGUUCCAAAACUACGUAUCCAACGUAGGUUGAGACAUCAUACCUGCUAGUUGAGGGUAGAUAAGGUGGCCUAACCUGCUAGUAGAGGGUUUCCACUAUUCUCAUUUUAAGUAUCUGCCAGUAGAGGGUUUCACAGCCUGUCUUUAUCAGUGGUGCAGUAUUGACACCCUUUCAGUCAGGGUAGAGAUUGGACCCCAAUUUAGCUAUAUUAGAACAUAUUGGGCAUGUUUGUUAAACAACUACCUCCCACAAUUUCAGUAUUAGUCUCAGUAAAGGAACUUUGAUAGUUCUUUAGAUUUUCAAGACUAUCAGAUACAGUCAACUCAGUUGCAGUAAAGAACUCAGAUAGUUCCAUCAAACUCAAGACUGUCAGAUACAAUCACUCAUGUUAUCAGUUAUAUCAAAACCCCAGUUAGUUUAGCAUGGGGCAUUUCGGUUAGGUGAAUACAUCCUACUGUUUCAGUUACAGAAUUAAGACUGCCAGAUACAUUCAAUUUAGCUGAGUAAUACAGAUUCAGGACUGUUAGAUACGGUCAAUCCUUAUUAUUAUAUAUAGACUUCAGGAUCAUCCACUAGAUAGGACUGAUCUCAACUAUGGUCAAUCUGUAUUAGUAUCAUCAAAUUUAGAGAUCACCCGCCAGGCAGGACUGAUCUCAGAAUAAGUCAAUUAAUCUUUAUUAACAAUAUACUCAAAGAUCACCCUCUUGAUAGGACUGAUCUCAGAUUCAGUUACUCCAUAUAGAACGAAACUCAGAUAGUUCCAUUAGAACUUAGACUGUUAGAUACAGUCUCUUAGUAUCAGUUACAUCAGUUAGGUCGAUCAUUACAGUUAUAUCAGUUAUAUCAGUUAUAUCAGUCAUCAUAACUCACGUUAUCACUAUUUAGUUUCAGGAUUGUUAGACACAGUCAACCAGACCAGUUCUUCAUAAUUCGAACUGUCAAAAAUAGUUGUUCAUCUAUUCAGUACCUCAGUAUUAGUAAACUUAUGUUGUCAGUAUUUAGACUCAGUAGUCAGUAUCACCACAAGUUCAGUUAUAGUUACUUAUGCAUUUAUGUAUUCUCACGUUCAUAUCAGUUAGCAUUGUUCAUGCAUAUAAACCCUUUGUAUUUAGCCUACCUCACUCGUAUCCUCAGUACAUUCAAUCAUACUGGCAUAUUUUCUCUAUGGUGCUUUCUCUUAUAUUACACUAUAGGUUCAGAGGCACGAGUUCCAGAGCAGUAAUAGCAUUGUAGAUUUUAACAGUCAGAGUUAGAAGUGAGUCCUUAUCCUUCAAGGACAUAAUUAUUUUUUCAUUAUCCCAUUAGUCAGUUUAUUAGAUGGAGUUAGUUGGGGACAUAUCCUAUCAUCUCCUUAUUCAGAUUACUCAGAUAGUAGAGGCUUUCAGACUAGAUGCAUAAUAGAUAUCAGACUUGGUUUAGACUUUAGUAUUUUUGGUUUUGUCUUGGUAUUGUGAUACCACCUUAUUCAGAUGUUAUUAUCAUUCAGAUGUUUAUCCAUUUUGAACCUUAUGGCCUUUUAGUUCAUGUUUCUAUGUUUUCUAGCAUUUUUGCAGUAUACAGGUAAAGAUAUUAGUCAUGGGUUAGCUUAUGGUCCUUCGGUGUCAUGAGCACCGUGUAGCAUUCCAGUUUAAAAAAUCAGAGCGUUACAAAUUUGGUAUCAGAGCCUAAAGUUUAAUAGAGUCCUAGGAAGUCUGAAAUUCGCAACUACUAGAGUCAUAUACAUGGGUGUGUUGUGCACCACACUUAUGUACAGGAGGCUAUGAGAUGUUUUAGGAACAGUUUUCCUUCUUUCAUGUUUUAGAUCAUGUUAUAUAAAGGUAUUCUAAGAAACUCAUGUAGAUUCUCAUCAUGCUCCACUCAUGUCAACUCCGCCUUACUUUCAAGGUAACAGAAGUAGUGAAUUUUAAGUCCUACAGAUAGGUCUUUCUCAGACAGUCCCUGCAAACAAUUAUGGAAUUUCCCAUAUGUUCAACAGUAUCCCAUCAAUUUAGUUGUGUCCCAAAGUUGUAUGGAUUUCAUUCAUGAACAUGAGAACUCAUUCUUGAACCAGAAUUUAGAUAUGCCACCAGAUCUCUUCUCAAAAUCAUAUGAUAGCAUAGACUAGAGUUAGAAGUAUGAAGCCAGGGAUUUAGCAGUAAUGGAGUUGGGAUAAUGUUAUCCGGAUUGAUCAGAUUAUGUAUUCAUGGGGAUAGUUAUGCCAGAAUGAAUCAGUAGGCUUGAACAGUGUGAGUUAGAAAUUUAAGUUUAUUGACCUAAAAUUAAGCAUGAAGGUGUGAAUGUGAUAGUAGUAGUAUAUGAGGAAAUAAAGGAAAAUGAUGUAUUUCGUAAGAUAAGCAUGUGUCGAUUAGAGUGUAAGUAUAUGAUGAUGAUUGCAGUUCAGUUCAGAGAUUAGUUUAGUGUUCACAAACUUAUGAUGAUGGCUUAAAGCCAAGGGGGAGAUGGUAGAUCAAGUACCCAAGUCAGGCUCUCAGAUUUCAAUAGUAGUACCAAUAUGUAUAGAAAAGCAGUUAGAAAAGAUGAUUCCCGACCUAUCCUUAUCUCAAUGUAAAAUUUUGUACUUCAGUUAGCAUAAUGUCUACAUAUGUUUCAUAACUCUGUUCUAUGAACACAACUUAUAUUCACACGCUUUUCAUAGAAUCUUGUGCGCUUCUAGUUCCCCGCAUAAAAAGUUCCAGCUCACUUAGUAUUAUGAAUCAUGUCUCAUGAACACAGAAACUCCAACCUCAAGUCAUGCAGCUCAUGACUCAUGUACACAUGUCACUUUUUAUAGAUUUCUCAGCUCCUAUGACUCAUGUUACACUCCUAUUAAUCAUUUAAUCUAGGAUAUGUCAUGUAUAUCCUCAGUUCAGACCUUUUGGUUACAUCUAUAUUAUUGAUAUCCUAUUCCUCAGGCCUCAGUCAUGUGUCAAGUUCAGCUAGUGUCCAUUCAUGUUUCAGGUCCUCUUGAUUCAACCCCUUUAGUGAGCUCUCUUUGUGAGAACAGUGUAGUGAUAAGCAGUUGCUUAGAUGAGUGAGAGAUUAAAUGAUACACGUUAAGAGAAGAUUAUUGCAUUCCUAUUUUACAAGAGGGUGUAGUCAUAGAGAUAGGCUUGAAUGUCAUUCUAAUAUGUAAAUAAUAACUAGCAAGAGGUUGUACUUAGAAAUCAGGAAAAAAAAUUUAGAGUGUGUGUGUACAUUCAGAUCCUUGACUUAUGACAGCCUUCAUUAUGCGACUAUCAUAACUCAGUUGCCAUCUCAGUUAUAGUCUUAGGUAUAAUGUAUGGUUUGGUUUAAUAAUCAGCUCAGUUCAUAUGUCAUGCCUCAGUUUCAAAUCUUAUAUUAUCAGUCGCGAUUCAGUUUUCAGGUGCCUUGCGUAUCACCUCAUCUUUCCUUAGUAGCUCAGCCAAGUCAGUAUUCUAUGAGGGACCUAGCGUCCUAAGGGGGAGAUACUCUAUGAUUCCCUAAACUUUUAUAACAUAAGUAUUCCAUUCUCUCUUUAUGUAAUCCAGUAUGGAGUAGGGGAUACUCAUAAGUUGACCCUUAAGCUCCGACCUCAGUUUCAUGCCAUGUAUUACAGAAUCAGUUUAGUUCAUGUAUCACGCUCCAGACUCAGUUAUGUUCUCAUAUUUUCACUCAUGGUAAUAGUCUUCCUUGAAGUUACUCAUUCUCAUGUUCAGAUUUCAGUAACAAACUUGGUAUUCGGUUCCAUGCUAAAUUUUCAAUUCAAACUUGGUAUCUUCACCAUUACAUGUUCAGUCGCAUAUUCAUGAGUCAGUUUAGUUAUGUAUUCAUGCAUCAGAUAUGCAUGAUUAGCUUACCAGUACUUUCAUUCAUGCAUUCACGUAUCAUGUCAAUCAUAAAAUUAGGCGUCAGAUAUGCAUUCUUCUUAUGAGAAAGUCAGUUCAUCAGAACACUCAGUCAUGCAUUCAUGAAUUAGUUACUCAUGCAUCAGAUAUGCAUGUUCAGUAUGAUGUAUCAGCUUAUCAAUCAUGUCAGUCCCGAAACCAUAUUUCAGUAGUGUAUGUCUUGUACGUACUUUAGUUGAUCUUUCCUUUUAUCUCACUCAUUCUCAUUCGAGGAUGAAUAUUUCCAAGAGGGAGAUAUUGUAAUACCCCAAAAAAUCCAAACCAACAUUAGUGCCAUGUUUCAAGAUUAUGCAUAGUACAUCAUGGUUAUUUUAUAGUUUUAUUAUCAAUUUAUAUGUAUAUUAUGUCUUCAAAUAACUCCAAGUUAUCAGACGAAUCAAAACAUUCCUUACCGAUUGAAUUCUUGGGAAGGAUAUUGCCAUAUUCAACUUCAAAUGAUCAUAUCUCUUGUUAUACUAUGAAUUUUGGAGCUCAUUACCUACCAAUAUAUAUAUAAUUGAAUAGAUUUCCAACGAUAUCAAUUUAUCCUAAAUUCAAUAUUGAAGCAAAAAGUUAUGCCUAUUUUACUCCAGCAUGUCAGCCUGAAAACUGAGUGACGAUAUUUCUGACGACUUAUCACAAUUCUGACGACAUUUCUGAUAACCUAUCACAUUUCUGAUGACACUUUUGACGACUUAUCAGCAAUUUCAUCAGACUUUUAGGUAGAAUGUCAAAAAUUUCAGCUCCCAGGUGACGACCUGGGCUGAUGGGCUAUCACAGAUUUAACGGCUUAUCAGCCUUGGUCGUCAGCUGAUAAUUUCAGAAACUGGAAGGUGAUUUCGUAGGGAUAUUUUAGUAUUUUUCCCUCACUCUAAACAUGGUAUUAAAUCCCUAAGAAGGCUAUUAUCCCAUUAUUUUCUCAUUCUCCUCAAGAACAAGAACAUUCUCUCCCAAAGGGGUUAAACUCUAGUCAAGAAAAAUCAAGAGCAAGCCUAAGUAUUUUAAGAACCUUCAAGAAAUAUUAGAUCUCUUUCAAGAUCAAGCUUUAAUGUAUGAGUAGUGUUCAUCUAGGGAUUCCUUUCAUCCGUGGAGUUCAACAACCCCCUUUUAAACUAUGAAUCAUGAAGUUAUGUUGUGGGUUGAUUAUGUUUGUCUGAUUGAUUGUUAUACAACUCCCAAAUUAGAAUCUUUAUGUGAUUUUAUGAAACUAGGAGGACAUGCAAAUUGAAAUAUAUGAAUUUUGGGUGGUUUAAAUCAUUAAGGUGAUGAAUAUUCCUAUGCCACAAGGUGUGCAUGCAAGGUGUUUGAUAAAAGACCUAAGAGACUAGAAAUCAUGUCUUAUAGCUAAAUAGAACUUAAAUGACAAGACCAUGCUCUAUUCCUAACGACUCAACCUGAAUUCCAUGCUAAUUGUUGUAUAUUGUUGUUGUGAUAUGGAAUGCUCAUGAAAUUUAAGUUAUGCAAGUAGUUACAUGUUAUACGCAUUCUCUUUCAUGUAUAUGGUGUUGAGAAACAUAUGUAGUAUUAAAUCCUCUACUUAUGGUAUUAUGAAUUAUGGAUGUUAUUCUUAUGAUCAAGAAGUUUCAUUUGUGUCAGUUUUCUUCCAUCGAGUCUUGGGGGUACUUGUACCCGAAAAAUAUAGUUGUGUGCCUAGAGCCAAGUCUUGUUUUCACGAUAUCCUUAGUCAAGCCAUAAUCCAUUGAACUCAGUCAGUCAUGUGAUUUAGGAAAACUCAAAAACCUCAAAAAUCUUAGAAAAUCUCAGUAGUUCAGUAAUCUCAGUACUCAAUAAUCUUAGUAACCUCAGUAUUCUCAUUAAUCUCAGUAAUCUCAUGAACCCAGUCAGUUGUCAGAUAUCAGUAUCAUUCCAUCAGUCAUGAAACUUAGUAAACUCAGUCCAGUUCAGUUCAGUAAUCCAUGUUCAGUGUCAAUUCAGAUGGGAGUAGAAGUUAGCACCGAGUGACCCUAAGGAUGGGAACUCACCUGCCAGUAGAGGGUGUGAUUCCUAGAAGUAAUCCUUGCGUUCCAGAACUACGUAGCCAGCGUAGGUUAAGGCAUCAUACCUGCUAGUUGAGGGUAGAUGAGGUGGCCUAACCUACCAGUAGAGGGUUCCCACCAUUCUCAUUUUGAGUACCUGCUAGUAGAGGGUUCUCACAGCCUGUCUUUAUCAGUGGCGUGGUAUUGACACCCUUCCAGUCAGGGCUAAGAUUGGACCCCAGUUUAGCUAUAUUGGCACAUAUGGGGCAUGUCAGUUAAAUAACUACCUCCCAUAAAUUCAGUAUCAGUUUUAGUAAAGGAACUCAGAUAGUUCUUUAGACUUUUAGGACUGUCAGAUACAGUUAACUCAGUUACGGUAAGGAACUCAGAUAGUUCCAUCAGACUCAGGAUUAUAAGAUACAGUCACUUACGUUAUAAGUCAUAUCAGAACCCCAAUUAGUUUAGCAUGGGGCAUGUCGGUUAGGUGAAUACAUCCCACAGUUUUAUUUACAGAAUUAGGACUGUCAGAUACAGUAAAUUCAACUGAGUAAUACAUAUUCAGAACUGUUAGAUACGGUUAAUCCUUAUCAUUAUAAAUAGACUUCAGGAUUAUCCACUAGUUAGGAUUAAUCUCAACUAUGGUCAAUCAGUAUCAAUAUCAUCAGAUUUAGAGAUCACUCGCUAGGUAGGACUGAUCUCAGAAUAAAUCAAUUCAUGUUUAUUAACAAUAUACUCAGAGAUCACCCGCUAAAUAGGAUUGAUCUCAGAUUCAGUUACUCCAUACAGAAUGGAACUCAGAUAGUUCCAUCAGAACUUAGACUGUCAGAUAUAGUCGCUUAGUAUCAGUUACAUCGGUUAGGCCGAUAAUCAUAAUUAUAUCAGUUAUAUCAGUCAUCAUAACUCACGUUAUCAGUAUUCAGUUUUAGGACUGUUAGAUACAGUCAAUCAUACCAAUUCUUCAUAAUUCAAACUAUCAAAAAUAGUUGUUUAUCUAUUUAGUACCUCAGUAUCAGUAAACUUAUGUUGUCAGUAUUUAGACUCAGUAGUCAGUAUCCAGACUCAGUAGUUAGUAUCACCACUAGUUCAGUUAUAUUUACUUAUGCAUGUAUUUAUUCUCACAUUCCUAUUAGUCAGCAUUGUUCAUACAUAUAAACCCUUUGCAUUUAGCCUACCUCACUCGUAUACUCAGUACAUUCAGUCGUACUGAUGUAUUUGCGCUAUGGUGCUUUCUGUUAUGUUACAGCAUAAGCUCAGAGGCUUGAGUUCCAGAGCAGCAGUAGCAUUGCAGAUUUCAGCAGUCAGAGUUAGAAGUGAGUCCUCAUGCUUCGAGGACAUAAUUAUUUAUUCAUUACCCCAUUAGUUAGUUUAUUAGAUGGAGUUAGUUGGGGACAUGUCCCAUCAGCUCCUUACUCAGAUUACUCAGACAGUAAAGGCUUUCAAACUAAAUAUAGACUAGAUAUUAGAAUUUGUUUAGACUUCAGUAUUUUCAGUUUUAUUUUGGUAUUGUGAUACCACCUUAUUCAAACAUUAUUAUUAUUCAGAUGUUUAUCUAGUUUGAACCUUCUGGCCUUUCAGUUUAUGUUUUUGUAUUUUCUAAUAUUUUAUGCAAUAUGCAGGUAUAGAUAUUAGUCAUGGAUUAGCUUGUGGUCCUUUGAGGUCAUGAGCACUGUGUAGCGUUACGGUUCAAAAAAUUGGGGCGUUAUAAUGCCCCUAAUGAAGUUUCCCCAAAAUGAAGCGAGUCAUUAAGGGUCCAAACCCAAGAGUCCUCAAGUCUUCAAGGUUCCAACCAACCUUCCACACUCGGGUUUGUUUAAUGACAUGCUCAAAACGAGCCUUCAUUGCAUAUCCUUGUGCUCUCGGGGUGACCAAGUCUUAAGCCUUUAGGUGUUGGCCUCCAAAGAUGUCAUCAAAAGCUAAGGUGGCAAUUUGACUUGUAUCAUCCCCCCUUCUCUUUGAAAAGGAUUCGACGUCGAAUCCAUACCUUGCAAAAUAAGAGAAAGAAUAAACGAGCACAACUUCCUCAUGGCAUGAGGGUUAGAGUUAGCACAAUAAUAAACAUCAUCAUGCCAAGGAGGAACACACAAAAAAGUGGUACAAAAUAGUCCGCAAACAAGAAUAUAACAUGGCACCACAAGUUGCAGUUCACAUAACUUAAAUAUAAGUGUGUUAAACAUGGAUGCACGUAUAUGAGCAACACUCCAAAGAGUCAAUGACAUAUUUACCCUAGGGUUCUCUAGUAAACACAAACCACCAUUAACAUCAAAGGGAUCACAAUUCAAGACAUCAUAAAUAUCAAGUAAGUCAUCCCCAUAGUUAUCAAGUAAGGGUGGUGUGUCAUGCAAAGGAUUACAAUUGACAUCAUUUUUAAAGGAAUAGGCACAAUUUGGGUUUCCCAAGCAAACAAGCUAGUAAAGGUCAUUUUCACCCGAUUGGUUAUUCCUUUCCAAGACUACACAUUCCUUACCCUUAAGAGUACUCUAUCUUCCAAGAAGAGAUUUCCAUCUUGAGGAGGAAUGUUGCCACACCAUAGUGGAUUAGCGUAUAGGAUAUAGCUUUCAAGACAAGCUAUACUAUAAAUAUAACCACUAGGUUCAUUAGGAGUUAUCGUACCAUCUUCAAACAAGAUAUUAUGCCUAAAGGGAGUGGGAUCUAUCCCGCGGACAGAUUCAGAACCUUCCCUCUCUAAGGGAUCAUUUUCAAGUUUCAAAGUGGUUUCAAAGACAUGAUUAUCCCUAUGAGUCAAGCAAACAUCAUAAUAUUUAACAAAGAACAAACUCAUGGGUUCACUCCUAGCAGUGUUAAAAGUAUCACAUUGGGAAAGCUAAUGCAACUCCUUCGUCAAACUACCAACUACAUCCACUUGGCUACUACUAGCCACAUCAUAAUAUUUUAAGUUUGUAAGAGUGUAAGAGAUAGCUUCAUUACCUUAUAGCUCACUUGAUCUACGGACUUCAUCUUGACAUGGGUCUAGCAGUACACUUGCUCCCGUGGAACUCCCAUAUGAUCCAACCUUUCAUUUAUCAUUUUCCAUUGAUGGGCCAUGGUUUCAAGUUUAGCCAAAAUAACACUUGUAGUGUCAAUGCCCAAGGUUUGAGAAGUUGAAGCCGUGGGUUCAUUGCAACUUGUACCUAAAAACAAAACAAACUCACAAAAUAAAAAAAAUAGUUCACAAGAUCCUCACCACACUCUCUCACACUUUGAUCGUCUCACACUCGGUUUCACAAGUGUUGCAAGUCGGUUUGUAGUUCAUGAUGAGUCGAGGAGUGAGUCUACUCUUUGGUUGUAAUGAAUUCUUUGCUUGAAGACUCAAGAAAGUAAUAUCCAAACUUGAACCAAAAAAUACUAUGAUUUAAAAACAAUAAAAGCAUAAAAAUAACGCUAACACGAAGAAAUGUAUUCAAAAACUAAUUUACAACUUAGUAGGUAUUUACUAGUUGCCAAUUAGUAUAAGACUCAACAAAAUGAAACUAAGAAUCAACAAUAAGAAACUAAGAAUCCAAAUUUGAGCCUAAAAGUUAUCGUGUGAACAGUAAAUGUGAUGUGGCUGGCACGUAAUGGGUGCGGUCAUAAUAAAUUUUAUUUUUUUCCAAAAUUAGAAGUCUUGAUCAAUUUGUAAGUUAGAAAUGGUGGGAAUUGGUUUGGAGGGAAAUAUAAGUCUUGAAAUCCCUUUGUAAAUUCAAAGAAUGAAUAUUUGACUUUUUUGCACUUUCUCCCUCAAGACAAGGUCCUUAAAACAAGGGAAGUGGUUGAGAUGUUAUUGACAAGUUCUUGAGUGAUUGCAAGUCUUUCAAGAUAAACAAGGCUUCAACUCUUUUUCUUCACCUUUAUAGAUCUAGCAUUCACUUUAUUUUAACAAGACAUGAAGGUGUGAAGAACACAAGAACAACACCAAUAACCAUACGGCCUAACAAAAUCCACAACAACAACAGGACCACCAUAAUCGGCCAGGGUCACCACAGCUUCAUCACACGGUAAUGUUCACAUCAACAACAUUAGCAACAUAAGCUCCAGUUUAGAUAUAGACUCAAAAGUGUUAGUGAAGAACAAUACUAACACUAUAAACAACUAAACAAGUAAAAGACACCUAGACCUAUACUCCACAAUCUCGGCCAAGACAAGAACAAUAAGUUCUUGGCCAAGAACAACAAGAAUGGGCAGAUUACUCCUUUUCUGGAAUUUUCAAUUUUGAACUCUUUUUUUUCAACUCUCAAGUCUAAGAUUGGUCUUGUUAGAACAAAAUCAAAGAUGGAUUUGAUACCAAAUGAUAUAAUACAACAAUGGAAGACACGAAAUUGGCUCAAAACAAUCCAAACAUACACCAACAAAAUAGUCCACAAGUUCAAGAGAACCAAGGUCCAAGAUGGUGACCACUCUCGGAUUCAAGAACACAAUAUAACAAGGUGUUUAACACCUUUUUCAGCCAACAAUCCCAAACUAUAUUUCAACAAUAAAAUGAAGAACAAUAAUGUUACAACAACAAGACCCCCACAGGUUCAAACACAAGACAAGGAAAACCGAAACUAAAACAAGAUACAGGAUAGCUAGUUAGACAAGUAAUGGUAUAAUCUUAAGAACCCAAGAGCAUAUUCCACUCUUGAACCCUUAACACUACACACCAAUCACCUAACUCCUAUGUUGACGCAAGAGGGACUUUACCUCCUCUAAACACCAAUGUCUCAAGCCAAAAUGCAACACAAGUGUCUCUACACUUGGAAGCCCUAGUUACGGGUAGGGGUGGCUUUUCCAAGCCCUACUCUAAAGUGCCACACUCUCAAGAGAGAGACUUAGGUGUUACAAAUAUUUCGUGUCUUGAUGAUAAUCAACUAAAUGUAAAAUGAACCCUAAAGAACUACUUAUAGCUAUAACAAAAUGACCUUCCUAUCCUUAAUGAGGGGUGCCUAUGGAGUGUAUUUUGGGCAUAAUGAAGUGACCAAAAUGCCCUUAAUGAAGCUGCCCUAAAAUAAAGUGAGCCAUUAAGGGUCCAAACCUGAGAGUCCUCAAGUCUUCAAGGCUCCAACCAACCUUUCACACUCGGUUUUGUUUAAUGACAUGCUCAAAACGAGCCUUCCUUGCAUAUCCUUAUGCUCUUGGGGUGACCAAGUCUUGAACCUUUAGGUGUUGACCUCCAAGGAUGUCAUCAAAAGCUAAGGCGACAAUUUGACUUGUAUUACUAAAUCAACUUUCACUAAGUCUAAUGGAACUAAAGAAACCUUCAUUAGUAUGACCAUCCAUGUCAAACUUACCUAAGUAUGAGAAAUUAAACAUUUCGCCUAAAUUGAGUAAGCUAAGGCAUUCUCAUGAUAGAAAUGAGCAAUGAAGUCUAUUCCACGUAAGAUAUAGGGAAAUAAGUUAAGCUUUUCAAUUCUAAGAUUCAUUGCAGACUAAAUAGUCCAACUAACCAAAGUCUUACAUUUAAUCAAUCCAACACCUAAAACCCAUCCCAUUCUAAGAAGAUAUCACAAAUAUACUAUGACAUAGCUCAAUCUAAUAAGUAAUAAACCUAGCCUACCUCAAAUCCAAAAAAAGCUCACAAACUGCUAAACCUUCGCUUUUCCCUUCUAAGAAGCCUUUUCAAGAUACCAAGCUAUUCAAAACACAUUAUUUAUAUUGUUAUGAGAAUAUCAAUACCCAUAUUGCACCAUUGUGCUACAGGUCCAAAAAAAGGCCAAAAACCCCAUAUGGGUCUAGCUUGUGGAAAUCAUAUUUACGUGACCAACCCAACAUGAUAUCAACCUUAUGGAAUCAAAACCCUCAAAAUGAGUGAAAACCAAGCAAACUUUUGGCUAAAAUCAAGCCCUAGUUGAUUUGGGGCUUUGGUAAAAAAUUCAAGAAAUUCAAGCAUGAAAUUGAAGGAUUCUUACCUUAAAUCUAAUGUUAAUCAUGAAAAUAUAUGUUAAUCAACCUUCCAAGUCAUAUUCAAGACUUAAUUUAAGGUUAGCAUAUCAUUUUAGGGUUUCUUGGUCUUAAAGAUGAGUGAGAAGUGCCCAAAUGAGGCCUAAAAGGUCCUUAAAUACCCACAUCAGGUACUCAGAAGUGCCUAUCGCAACCCAUGGAUGGAAAUCUGACUUGGGCAAUCAAAAUAUCCUAAUAGCAAUCGCAAUAGGGAGAUCAUCAUGCCUUUUGUGCGACCGCACAAGCUUCAACACCAGCAAAUUUGGGAAAUUUUCCAAGUAUCCAACAAUGCCUCAGGAUUCAUUCAAAAUCCGAUAUAUGCAAAUAAACUAUACAACCAUACUAAAUUCAACGUUCCAAAUGUAAUGGCAAAGUUGGAUUUUCCAUCUGAGGUCAUUUCAACCAAAUACGAGUCCCACGCCCAAUUUCUUAAUUUUGUAACUUUCCGACCAAUAGUUCAAAAUGAGCUUGGGCGCAUUGGUUCCCAAACCAAAGGUAUACCUAGCAUAAAAUCAAUAUUCUAAAGCUAUUGGCAUAAUCAAAAUUUGUAUUCGAGAUCAAUUUACUAAAGUUUUUGGCCGACGGCUAUUUGGAAUCGAUGAAAACUUUUAAACGGGGAAUUGGUUGUAAAAAAUAAACUAACUGCCUGGUAACUGAAUUGUCAGCUCUAGCAAGUCAUAAAUGACUUGGGGGCAGCUAUGGAAAGGCACUGAUAGUGAAAAUAAACAAAAAUACAAAAAUAAACGUAAGGGUUAUUACAAUAUCCAAUACUAAUGAACUUUCGCCUCCAAAAAUUAAGAAUUAGGAUAUACUUGAGUCUCGAAUAAGUGAGGAUACUGAAUCCACAUUUCGCUCUUGAUCUACCAAGUGGCCUCCUCCACUGAGCAGUGCCUCCACUGAACCUUAACAACUGCCUCACAUUACUAGCCAAAAUGAGCGUUGACAUCUCUACAAAGAUCAAACACACAUCCAACUAGACUAUGUCCUAUCUAAGCUCAUGAGAAGGAUCAGGAAUAUAUCAUCGCAACAUAGAGACAUGGAAAACCAGAUGAAUAGCAGCAAAAUCUAUAGGUAAAGCUAACUUACAAGCUACCUCAGUAACUGAGUGGAGAAUCUCAAAAGGUCCAACAUAUCACAAACUAAUCUACCAUUCCUCCCAGAUCUCAUAACAUCUUUCAUGGAUGACACAUGGUGGAAUACAUGAUCACCAACUCCAAAACUCAAGGCACAAUGCCUACAAUCAGCAUAGGCCUUUAGCCUACUUUGAUCUGCUCUCGACCUGUCCUAGAUCACCCUAACUCUAUUCAAUGACUCUUGAAGCAUAUCUAUACCUCAAGGCCUAACCUCAAAAGUCUCAAGCCAUCAAAUUGGAGAACAAAAUCUCCUACCAUCCAAAUCCCUAAGUGGUUCCAUCUCAAUACACGAGUGAUAACUGUUAUUAUAAGUAAACUCUAUCAAGGCUAAGUACUGCCGGACUAGCCUCCAAAAUCCAUAACAUAGGCUCGAAUCAUAUCCUUAAGCACCUGAAUAUUCCACUCCAAUUGAACAUCAGUCUGUGGAUGAAAAGUUAUUUUGAGAUCUACCUAAGUGCCCUACUCUUCUUGAAAGGCUCUCCAAAACCUCAAAGUGAACACAAAACCACGAUUAGAAUGAUAAAAAUAGACUAUGACCUGAACAUAUACAUGGGCUAAUCACUCAACACUAAAGGACAUCUGAAUCAGAAUAAUAUAUGCUAACUUAGUCAAAUGGUCUACAAUGACCCAAAUACCAUCGAAACCAUGGGAAUAAUGAGGAAACCCACUAAAAACCCAUGGUAAUCCAUUCCCAUUUCCACUCAAUAAUGGGUAACCUUUGAGUUAAACCACCUGGUCAUUGAUGCUCGGCCUUUAUAUACUAACAAAAAAGGUAGCGACCUAUAAAGUCUUCCAUAUCUCUUUUUAUACUACUCUACUAAUAGUAUUGCCUCAAAUCCUAAUAUAUCUUGGUUGUAUCUAGGUGAAUAGAAUAUUUAUAGUUGUGAGCACCAUAUAGAAUUAACUAAAUCAAGUCAUUAAUUUGAGGAAUUCAAAUACGGCCAUCAAACUUCAAAAUAUCCUCAGAAUCAAUGGUGUGCCUCUUGGACAUACCACUCAACACCUGGUCAUAAAGGAAGCAAAGAUUAUCAUCCUUAAACUGGCGAUCACAAAUCUUGUCAAACAGUGGGGACUUCUCCGACACACUAGCAAAAAUCCUCCUAGGAUCUGAAAUAUCAAGGCAAACCAUCAGGUUGGCUAAGGAUGGAAUAUCAUAUGCCAAUGACCUCUAAGAAACUAAAAUACAAGCAAAACUACCCAUACUUACUGCCUUGCAACUCAAGGCAUCAACUACCAUUUUUGCCUUACCCAGAUGAUACAAGAUGGAAAUAUCAUUAUCUUUAAGCAACUCCAUCCAUCUACAAUGGAGAGCAUUAAGCUUUCUCUAAGUCAUAAGAUGCUGAAGGUUGUAAUAAUCGAUAAAAAUUACACAAUGAACACCAUACAGAUAAUGCCUCCAACUCUUAAGCAUAAAAACUACCACCGUUAACUUCAAGUAAUAAGUGAGGUAUUUGCGUUCAUAUACCUUAAGCUGUCUAGAAGAAUAAGAAAUGAAAUGACCCUGCUGCAUCAAUAGACAACCAACACUAAUACCAGAAGCAUUACAAAACAUAGUGAAUCCUUCACUCUUAAUAGAAAGAGCUAACACAGGAGCUGAAGUAGCGAAGUGCUUGAGCUUUCCAAAGCUUGGCUCAUACUCAUCCGACCAUAAGAAAGGAACCUUUUUUUGAGUCAAUCUAGUCAUAGGGGCUAAAAUAGUAGCAAAACCCAUGAAAAUAUCUAUUAUAAGUGGCCAAACCAAUAAAGUUAUGUACCUCAGUUGGAGAUGUGGGUCUAUACCAAUCAUGAGGUCUCAAUCUUGGAUGGGUCUACUAAAUACCUUUGUUAGACACCACAUGUUCAAGGAAUGUCACCGACGUAAGCCAAAACUUACACUUUGAGAAUUUGGCAAAAAAUAAAUAAUCUUUCAAUGUUUGGAGCACGAUCCUCAAAUAUUGUGCAUGCUCUUCACUACUCCUUGAAUAUAGAAGAAUUUCAUCAAUGAAAAAAAUCAUAAAAGAGUUCAAACAAGGCCUGAAUAUGUAGUUCAUCAAAUCCGUGAAUGCGGAUGGGGCAUUAGUCAACCCAAAGGACAUUACUAAGAACUCAUAAUGACCAUAACGGAUCCUAAAACUUGUCUUCAGGAUAUCCUCAGCCCGAAUCUUUAAAUAAUGGUAGCCAAAUCUUAAAUCAAUCUUAGAAAACAUGACUACACCUUGAAGCUGGUCAAAUAAAUCAUUAAUAUAAGGCAUAGGAUAAUGGUUCUUCACCGUCACCUUAUUAAGCUACCUAUAAUCAAUGCACAUAAGCAUAGAGCUAUCUUUCUUCUUCACAAGCAACACAAGAGCACCCCAAAGGGACACACUUGAUCUAAUAAAACCCUUGCCAAAAAGAUCUUAAAGUUAAAAAUUCAAUUCCUUAAGUUCGGCAGGAGCUAUAUGAUAAGGUGACAUAGAAAUAAGUCAGGUGCCAAGAUCGAGAUCAAUGUCAAGCUUAAUCUCACAAAUAGGGGGAUUAUCAGGUAGGUUGGUAGCGAACACAUUAGGAAACUCAUAAACAAUAGGAACAGAGUCAAGUGACAGACUCUCGAUACUAGCAUCACAAACAUAAGCGAGAUAAGACUUGCAGCCCUUAGAGAUAAGUCUAUUAGUACACAUAUAAGAGAUAAUAUCCAUAGGCUCGUGGCUAACAGCUCUCUUCCAUACGACUGGGGAUACACCGGGCAUGGCUAAGGUAAUGAUCUUGGAAAAAUAGUCUAUGACCGCAUGAUAGUGGGAUAACCAGUCCAUGCCCAGAAUCACAUCAAAAUCCACCAUAUUAAGAAUAAUAAGAUCAGCAUAAGUAUCAACAUUGCUGACAGUCACAAUAUAUGAUCUGAGUACAUGAUCCACUACUAAAGAAUCACCCAUGAGAUAAUGGCAGAGCCAGAAAUUUCACGAAGGGUGUUCACAUAUUACAUCAGCAAUAAUUUUUUGACAAAUAGUGCAUUCAAAAUUUUAAAAUCAAACUACAUAAUACUAAUAAUCAUUUUUUCAUGAUUAAAUGUAUCAAAAAUUUAAAAUCAAACCACAUAAUGUUUAGCUUUAGCGUUUAUGCUUAAUUUAAUAUAAAGUAAAGUGAUAAGCAAAAAUAGGAAAAGAAAAAAAUUAAUUUUAUGCAUUAAGCUUUCAUUGACCUAUGGUGACAACAAUAAUAACAACGAAAAAUAAAAGAUGGAGAGCAGAAUUAAAAUAGGUCUUCUUUAAAAUAAACUCUAUAUAGAGAUUUUUUGCUUUUAGCAACACUAUAGAGAUUUUUAGAAUUUACUUAUUAAUUUUAAAUUAAAUAAUUAUUUUUAAUUUUAUUUAAAUUUUUAAUAAAAGAAAAGGAACAAAGUAAAAUCACCUAAAAUUCAAUAAUCUACUAAUCCUUCCAUUUUCCCCAUUUUUGAAGCAUUUAGAAGCUUUUCUAAUUAUGCAAAAAAGCUUUUAGAAAACACAGUCUGCUGAGGUUUGAACCCACACAACUAAAUAAGUAUGUCCAUUCCCUGCGCGCCUAGUACCACUGGGCUAGAGCAGUUUCAUGCCUUCAGAUUGUUUAGAUUAUACAUUUAACCUAUUUUAAAGCAGUAUUUUAUGUACAUAUAUGGCACAAUAUUUUGACAAAGGGUGUUCAUCUGAACACCCUUGCUACAACGUAGCUCUGCCCCUACCACGAGAGUAGAUACAUGUAAAUUACAAAACAACUCCAAUCAUGGUGCCUAAUAAGUAGAAAUAUAAGAAUAAGUGGAUCUCAAAUCAAAUAAAUCAAAGGCCAACUGGUAGCACACCAAAACCAUACCUAUAACUACAAAAUUUAAAGUUUGAGCCUUUGGGUCUAGAAGGUACUGCAUACAACUAACCCACAUACGCCACCUGGUCGGGCACCUAAGCGACCUUAUGUCCUACUUUAGAUAUUUUAAAGAUCAAUUUUCAAACUCGAUAUGGUCAUUAUGAGUUCUUAGUCAUGUAUUUUAGAUUGAUAAGUGCCCCAGCUGUAUUCAUAGAGUUGAUAAACUGGGUGUUUCAAUUGUAUCUCAACUCCUUUGUUAUUAUAUUUAUAAAUGAUAUCUUGGUUUAUUCUAAGAGUGGGACUAAGCAUGAGGAGCAUUUGCGAAUUGUGCUUCAAAGAUUGAGAGAUAAGAAAUUAUAUGUCAAGUUCUCCAAGUGUGAGUUUUGGUUGGAGUCUAUUUCUUUUAUUGGUCAUGUGGUGACUAAGGAGAGUAUUAUGGUUAAUACCACAAAGAUUGCAGCAGUUCAUGAUUGGGCUAGGCCUACUUUACCCAUCGAUAUUCAAAGUUUUAUUGUCUUGGCAGGUUAUUAUUGGUGUUUUAUUAAGGGUUUCUCAUCCAUUGCAGCUCCUUUUACUAAGUUAACUUAGAAGAAGAUUUUAUUUUAUUGGUCUGAUAUAUAUGAGGCAAGCUUUCAAAAGCUCAAGGAUUUAUUGACUUCAGCUCCUAUCUUGACCUUGCCCGAUGAGGGCAUGGGUUUCACUAUAUUUUGAGAUGCUUCAGAUAUUGGAUUAGGUGUUGUGUUGAUGCAAAAUGAUAAGGUGAUUGUGUAUGCUUCUCAUCAGUUAAUGCCCUAUAAGAAGAAGUACCCUACCCAUGAUUUAGAGUUAUGCACGGUUAUUUUUGCUUUGAAUUUAUAGAGGCACUACUUGUAUAGAGUCCAUUAUGAGAUUUUCUUGGAUGAUCGUAGCCUUUAAUAUUUCUUUACCCAAUGAGAUCUUAAUAUGAGGCAGUGUCAUUGGCUGGAGUUGCUUGAGGAUAAUGACUUGACUAUUCUCUCUCAUCCGAGCAAGGCUAAUAUGGUUGUAGAUGUUUUGUGUUGGAAGUAGACUAGCAUAGGUAGCUUGGCAUUUCUUUUGAUCUAGGAGAGGCUUUUGGCCUUAAAGGUACAGUCUUUAGCUAACCAGAUGGUUAGGCUUGAUAUUUAAACAUAUAAAAGUGUUUUGGCAAUUUUGGAGGCUAGGUCUUAUUUGUGGGAGAAGAUUUAAGCUCAUCAAUUUGAUAGUAUAGGUGAGAUCAAUUUAAGAUAAGGUGUUGAGUGGUGUGGCUCAGGAAGCUUCACUUGAUUCUUAUGGUGUUUUGAGGAUUAGGGGCUGAUUUCAUAUGCUGAGAGUGGGUGAUUGGAUUAUAUUGAUUUUGGAGAAGGCUUAUUGUUCCAGAUAUUCCAUCCAUCUGAGAGAGACUAAGAUGUAUCAAAAUUUGAAGUAGCAUUACUGGUGGUAUGGUAUGAGGAAGAAUAUAGCGAAAUUUAUGGUUUGUUACCUUUUUUGUUACCAAGUAAAGGCAGAGCAUUUGAGACCUAAUAGAUUUCUUUAGAGAUCGCCCAUUCUCGAGUGGAAGUGGGAGCGGAUUCUAUGGAUUUUAUCAUAGGAUUACCUUGCACUUCCUAUGAAUCUGAUAUUGUUUGGUUCAUCAUAGAUCGAUUGACCAGGUGUAAGUACUUCCUUCUUAUACAAAUCUCUUUCAGUACUGAGAGACUGGCUCAAAUCUAUAUUUGUAAUAUUGUAUGACUUCGUGGUGUAUCAAUAUCAAUAAUUUCAGAUUGGGGUUUUGUGUUCACUUUGCAUUUUUGAAAGACUUUUCAAGAUGAGUUGGGUACUAAAGUUGACCUUAGCACAACAUUUUACCCCAUACUGAUGGCCAGUUAAAGCGGACUAUCCAAGUUUUGAAGAAUAUGCUCUAUGCGUGUGUGAUGGAUUUUGGUGGCCCGUGAAAGCAUCAUUUGGCUUUAGUGGAGUUUGCUUAUAAUAGCAGUUACCAUUCCAGCAUUGAUAUGACUUUAUUUGAGGCUUUGUAUGGUAGGCAUUGUUGAUCUCCUGUUGAUUGGUUUGAUAUUUCUGAGGUGAGACCUCGAGUUGUGAACUUUCUUUGUGAAUCUUUGGAUAGAUUUUGGAUCAUUCAGGAUAGUUAUUGUGUAGCCUAGAGUAUGAAGAAAUGUUAUAUGGAUUGUACACUUUGUGCCUUGAGAUUUUGUGUUGGUGAUUGUGUUUUCCUUCGAGUUUCACCCAUGAAGGGUGUGAUGAGGUUUGGAACGAGGGGCAAGCUUAGCCCUAAGUAUAUUGGUCCAUUUGAGAUUUAUCAGAUUGAUGGUGAUGUGCUUAUGAGUUGGCUUUGCCUCCUAACCUAACAUCUAUUCAUCUAGUUUUUCAUGUUUUUAUGCUUCACCGUUACAUUCAUGAUAAGUCUCAUGCCAUUCAUUGGGAGUCAAUAUAGUUAGAUGAAUUGUUUUCUUUUGUUGAGGAGCCAGUCUCCAUUUUGGUUGGGAUAUUAGAUGAUUACGCACUAGAGUUAUCCUUGUAGUUAAGGUUCAAUGGAGACAUCGACCUAUAAAUGAGGCUAUUUAGGAGGUUGAGUUUGAUAUGUGUAGUUCUUAUCCCCAGUUCUGCGUUGAUUAAGGUGUUUCUUUUUCUCAGUUCGAGGACAAACUAGAUUUUUAGUAGUGGAUAAUAUAACGACUUGAAAUUUGAUGAAUAUGUGAAAUAUGUGUUUUUAUGUGAUUUGAAUAUUUUACCCCUUCUCGUAGUUACAUUGUGGUAUUUCUGCAGUGUGAGGGUAAUUGGCAGGAUUCCUAAAGCAUUUUGGUGCCAUUUGUGUGAUAUUGUGGUUUUUGAUGGCUUCGAGAGCCUUAUUAUAGACUUCUGCUGUUAUUUUUUAUUCGUGUGAUGGAUAAAAAAACAGACUGUGCUAGCAGAUAUAAAACGUUUAUUUUAGGGUGGUAACAUAUUUGGUCUGAUUAUAUGGCUUUUAAAUCACAUUUUGACCCACGGUUUGGAAGAUUGUAAUUCUGAGUUUCAGGAGUGAACUUUGUGAAAAUGAUGUCUUUUUGAAAAUAUGAUAUUGCCAUUGAGUCUGAAUCAUUGAAUUUGAUAGGGUAAUAUAUUUCUUUUCCAUUCAUGGGAUUCUAGAUGAAUCCUGAGGGGUUCGUGGAGACUUGGAAUUAUACCAAGUCUCCAGCCGGUGGACCCAUUUUCUGGUGCACCUGCGAUUGAGGUCAAGGUACCGCAAUAGUGAUUAGGCAGGCGGAGAGAUGUUGCGAUCGCGACAACCCUUUCUGUAAUCACGAUACCUCUGUCAAGCCGGCGAACGCAAUCAUGUCCCUUAGGUAUAAAUACUCAUGCUUCGUCAUUUUUCACUAUUUUUGAGACUUGGAGCUUAGGGUUUCAUGAUUUUGAGCAACUUUCUCCAUUUCUAAGCUUGGGUAAGCUCCAUUACACUCAUUUUAACUAAUUCUUCCAUUGUUAAUAUUAGAUUCUUGUUUUAAGUAGAAUUUGAAAGUGGAAAUUGAUGAUUUUGGCCCCAAAGGCACAAAAGUAUAUUUCAUCAUUUUUAACCCCAAUUCAACUCCUUUUUACUUGAAUAAUGUUCCUAAUGCAAUAAUUAUCCAUUUUCCCUCGAUUUCAUCUUCAAAACAACUUCGAUUCUUGAUUUUUCAAUAGAUUUCAAAGAUUUUUAUUCGGUAAAGAUUAAAAAUUAUUUUUCUUAGAAUUGGACCUCGUUUUUAACUCGAUUUGACUUUGGUUUUCAACGGUAGGUUCCUAAAAAUAAGGGAAACACAGUUUUAAAAUAAAGUUAUGAUUUUGCCCUUCCUUUUUGAAAACCCAUUUUAGGGGUCCGUUUUGACCCCAAAUCAAAAAUAGGCAAUAUGGGUGUUGUUCACUUUAUUUUGAUAUGUAGAGUAUAUAUUAUGAUAUUUUAGUCGAUUUUGAUUCCAUUCAUGAGGAGUAGAGGAGUAGAGCAUUGCAAUCAAAGUGUAGCGGAUCGAUUUUGGCAUACGAGUAGGUUAUGUCUUAACUCUUUUAAAUUGGGCUGGGUAGCUAAUUUUUAUACAAAAUGCAUGUUAAGGGGAUGGGAACUAAUCAUAAAAUUGUCUAUCUUAAUGUGUUAUGCCCGUGUGGGGCCUAUAUGUUAUAGAAUUGUUUGUAUUGAGACAUUAUGUGAUAUGUGUGAUCAUGUGGGGUAUUAUGUGAUGUUGAUAGCCUUAUACAUAUGUGAAUAAUUGUAUCUAGUUGAUAAAAAGUGUGUUAUGGUACCAAAUGUGUAUUUUUAUGUAUUCAUACUCUUUUAGAAUAUGAAACAUGUGGAAAUUAUUGCAUCCUCAUAUCAUACCCAUUGAUGAAACAAAUGGUACCACAGUGGAAAUACUGAGAAACACUAGCAAUACAUUUUUAUAAAACCCUCCCCAUGGGAUGUGCUGGGAGGAGAUAUUAUGACAUCUUACAAAACCCUACUCGGGGAAUGUUCUAAGGAGAAUAUAUGAUAUAUGAAUUGUAUACGGGUUGAGGAACCCCCCAUGGAUCCUACAUCGGGAAGCUUUAGCGCUCUGUAUGAAUUGUAUCUCAGAGAUUGUGCAACAACCUCAUGCAUCAUCAUCAUCACUCUUGUUGUGUUUAUUUCAUUAUUUUUGUGACGUGAUUGUACUUCUACUUUGACUUAUUACAUAUCUAAUUAUUCUAUUUUCUUAUACUUGCACUCAAUGAUCUUGUAUGUAUGUUGUCCUUCCUUGUCCUACUUGUAUGUGGUACAUUGUAUACUUGUGGUCUUUAUGGUGUUUGUUGCAAUAUAUGUGAUAUAUAUUAGAACUGUUAGUGCAAGUGGUCUGAGCUACCGUUAUAGGAUAUUUUCUAAUUACAGGUGACGUGUCCUUAGUGUGUAUUUUGUAUGUCUUAUUUACUAAUUUGCUCGGUCAGCCUAUGAUACCCACUGAGUACAAAUGAACCAUACUCACUGCUACUGUACCCUUCUGGUGCAGAUUCAGGUUCGGGUGUGCCCCAUAUUGCUUGACUCAGGCGAUUGUUGGAACUUUCAAGGUAGUGGAUGAUUUUCAGGUGUCCGAAUGUCUUCUACUAUCUUUCUCUAUAAUUAGACUAUGCCUUUACUAGUUUUCAGAGACAUUUAUCUAUUGGAUUUCUUGUGUAUUUUAUUUGGUCUCUGGUUAUACUAGAUACGUUCUUAUGUUGUUGUCGUCAGGUUUUGGGAGUUCUGGAUGUAUUGUUGAUUAUUUUCGUUUUGCAUUUAUUAUACUUAUAUGGAUCAGCUUCUUUCUAAAAGCCCUACCUUGGGGGUAUUUCUUUCUUUUCUCCUUGUAUAUCUGCUUGGGUGAUAGGAUUACUUGUCAAGGUACGCCGCGACAAGUGCCAUCAUGACCGUUAAAGUUUGGGUCAUGAAAAGCGGGUUCCUAACAUUAGCAACAGUUAAGAAAUCAAUUAAAGCGAAGAAAAACCCAAUACAUGCAACAACAAUGAUUUAGAAGGAUUGUACACUUCUCCAUCUUCGUUAAUCCACCAGGUUUCCCAUAAAACCUAGAUAAAGGAAUUAGCCAUUGAUAUUGUGAAAUAAUUCAUGGAAUUUAUAAUUGAAAGCAUAAAAUCAAUAUCACAAUAAUAAACGAAGAAAACCCAAAGUUUCAAAUCAAUAAUAACCAAAAUAUCCAAGAACCUAAGAAUCCCAAGGUCAAAAUCCAAUCUUGGAAUCAAAAUAUAUGUUUUUGAAUAGUAAGAGUGCGAAAACUAACUAAAACCAUGUCAAAAGAGUAUUUAUAGAUUAUAUGGAAACCUUUCCAAAACAAAAGAGGAAAAUUGGAGUCGGUAGCCACCUACGUGCCAUUUAUAGGCCGUAGGUAGCACCUACGGUCGGUAGGUGGCACCUACGGUCGGUCGGUGGCCACACGUAAGAGACAGGGACUUUAAAACUUCUAUAGGAUCUCUGAUUUUUGAACUUCUGGCACCUACAGGCUAUAGUUGGUACUUGCGGGCCGUAGGUGCCCCAUCGUAGGUAGCAGGGCCAAAAUCUUAGCUUUUGAAUCUCUAAAAUUCAACUCUCUGAUACUUGUUCUGGCAUCUACGCCACGUAGGUAAUAUCUACGGGUCAAAGGUGCCCAUACAGGUGGUCCAAAACUUCAGUUUUCACUGUUUUUCUCUAGUUUAACUCCCAAAACCUAGUUUCCUACAAAACACAUCAUAUCUAACAAAACGACCAAAGUAACUACAUAUUUUUGUAGUUUUGAGCAUCGAAAGUGCUAUGAAACCAUAGCAUAUCAACACACCCUCAACUUAGAAUGUUUACAUGUCCUCAGGCUACACGAACACAAUAAACAACACAACAACGCUUAACCAGGAGAAACUCAAGAAACUUAUGGCAGUCAAUCAUCAAAUUUACCUCAAGAACAUUAUCACAUCCAAUUUUUACACUUCAAAAUUAACUGUGUAUAUCAAUAUAGCACAAUAAUGUGACACAAGGGAACAAGAUAUGGCAUUACAUGAGCACAAACAAUCAUGCAUGUAUACAAGUUACACUACCCAAACAAAUAAGCAACUAGAAACACAACCCAUGUACCCUCACAACAAAGAAGUCCCACCCACUCAAUAGAAUCAUGUGUGCUACUACAGGGACGAACAUAAGACACUCACACUCACAAAAAAGUUCCAACAAUGUGUAUAUAAUAGCAUAGGCUUGCCCCUAUUUUCUUUACCUUAGCUUUCAGACAGACGGGUUAGGAUCACUAUAGGACUUUACUCAGCUUUUAAUGCAGGCUUGUGGGUUGGUAUGGUACAUAUGGGAAUUUAGUGACUAAGCCUCCUUGGCACCAUAUUUACGUUAGGGGGUCCACUAUUAACCAACUUUUUUUAUUCCACCUUUAUUUCUCCUUUUCUAUUCUUUAACAGUUCAUUCAGGUUGGGUGUGGUUUUGUUUUUAUUCUUUAUUUUUUUUUCAAUUUCUCUUUUCUUUUUGCUUAUCUUUUUCUUUUUCUUUUUCUACUUUAUCUACCACACCCAACCCUACUUUCUUUUCUCUCAUUUACACUUCUUCAUGCCCACUUAACAUCAUGAACCCCUAUGAUAGCCAUCCUCAACUUAGGAGAUUUGCCUAAGUUGAAGUGCAUAAUGUCCAAGGAGGACCAGGGCCAAAAUAGGUUCAUUGUAACAAAAAUAGGUAGGUAAAAAGUGAAACAAGAAAAAUAGUUUACUCAUGCUCAAAAUAGGGAUCAAAGGAUACUUAUUUACAUUUGGAAGGUUGUUUAGUCUAAAAGUGGACUCAUUUCAAGAACACCCUAUGAUCAUUUACUAACCGACUAUCCUAUAACCUAGGUAAGACUAACCGAGCAAGUUUUGGAUUUAGCACCCAAAAGAAAAAAAGCAAGCAGCUCACACACACAUGGCAUAGGGUUGUAUUACAAGCUACUUCAUGUUCGGUUCAUGCAAACAUUAGCUAUGAUUAUUAUUUCCCUAAUUCUAAUGCCAUCAUGAUAUUCACAAUGGUUACACAUAUAUAUAUCACAUAGUUCUUAAAAUAAUUUUUUUGAAGGGGUAUCAUUUAUCUCAAAAAUCAAAACAAAAUUAAUCAAUUGUCUUAGACCACAAAAACAAAACAUAAUAUGAAACAAAAUAUAAUACGACAUAAUAUUUCCUAGACAUGUCAGUUCUACAAUUAUACUGUGUCCGAUAAAAAAAAUAUGGCAAUAAAAAUCUGUGGCAGCUGUGGUAUACCUCACCCCCUACUAAAUGAAUACGCAUUAUCCCCAGUGGGUGACAAUAAUAUAAAGCAAGGAAAUAAGGACAUACCUAGGAUGCACUAGGCAUCCGUGUUAUGCUCUCCCCCAUCCAAGAGUAUCUCGAUUAGUGGUGAUGGUGAUGGGGGUGGUGUACUACUAGAAGAUGCACCCGCUUCAAUCUCAGCUCGUCCCACUACAUCACCAACUAGGAGCCAUUGAAUCAUGGUUGGCCUAUCUCAGGGCCUGAUCAUAUAGAAUAGAGGGGUCCUGUAGGUCCUCCGUCCUAGCUCGUUUGGUCUCCAUAGUUGGGACUGUCUCCUUAUUCUCCGUGAACAAAAUAAAAUCAUCUAGGUCCGCAUGAAGGUACAGGUUGAGCAAAUAAAAGGAUAACUGGAGGAAUGGUCUAAAUCUAUCUCUCUGUAAUAGAAUAUACCUCUCUCACAGUAUGUCUAUCUCUUCCUGAAUCCCACUUAGGUCAGGUGCCUCUAUAUUACUGAACCGAUCCGACACUCAGCUCUCAAAAGCAUGAAUGUGGGAAUGCAACCUAGCAAUGAACUCUAACAUCUUAGCCCAGAGUACAGCUCGUUUCCUGGUCCCUAUAGUCUCUAAUGUCAUUCGGACCCAAGGCCGAAUCUGUCCAUACAAAGAUGCAAGCUCGGUCUCAAUAUCCUCAAGCUAGGUAGUAGUCACAUCCUAGCACUCUACUAAGCAUUGUAAAAAUCUUAUGUUACUGCCAUCAAAUAUGUGGCUAGAGCUAUCGUAAAGGGGGAGGGCCAGAUAAAAUGCCCCAAUCGGCUCAAAGUAGAGGUAUAGGAUGAAGUAGAAGGGGUUGGGGGACCUUUCUCAUUAUCAACAUCCAUAUCUAGCAUAUCAAUAUGCCCUAUUGGGAUAGAGGGCCAAUCAUACUGGGACAAAAUCACUGUUGAAAGUACACGAACCCUCUAUGCAAGGAUCGAGUUUGUCAAAUCCUUGAUCAUACUCAUUUAUGCCAUGCUCGUCGCCUCCAAUCUCCUAUUAACAUGUGAGAUCUCAAGAACUCCUACCUCAUUACACAACUGUUGGAUGAGGAAAGGGAAAGGCAUAAUAGUCAGAUCCCCAAAUGCUCUCUUAUGUAACUCACACAUGAUAACAGCUACAAAGUCAGUCUCAUAACCCACUAUCAAUCUUGCAUCCAAUGCAGUUCAAUCCUAUGUCAACAUAUUGUCCACAACAGACGGAUAUAAUCACAAAUAAAUCGUAGUCUACCAAAACUUUGCAGCAAAAUUCAAUGUCACCUUCUUAAUAUCUCAAUUUCCCUUGAUCUAAGGGGCGAUAUCUCCAAAAUUAAAAAUAUGGUUGGCGAACCAUCUCACUAAAUCUAGCCUCGGUCCUCUAUGCUCAACAUCCCUCAUUGCACAUCUGUCCAACAUGAAACUAACUUUAUGAUCAAACUCAGUUUUAGAUAUCGGGGAUACAAAUCCGGCCUAAAAAAAAACCUGAAGGAUGGCCGCUGCUGAGAGGUCAACCUAAAUCCCUCUCACCAAAAUGGACUCUAGCUGGGGUUAUGUCGCACCUAUGCUGCCUAUAGGUGUGUUCUAAGCAACUAUGGUUGCAUAAGAUGCAUAGAACUCGAUGACCACCACCUGACUGUAAGAACCCUGGGGUCGUCAUCCACCCUAACUGAUAACAAUUAAAUAUACCCCGCAAGUUUGAUGCCUCUACUAUCCCUGCUAACUCAAUCAUCUUCUCAUCCCAAAUAGACCUUAUAGGUCGACCUACCUUAGUAAUAAAACUGUACCAUUCAUAAAUCACCUGGAUCCCUGCCAUACAUUAUCUCGGGUUUACCUCAGCUAUUGGCACAACUGAGGUGUGUGUAGACUUAGAAGUUGUCUGUGCUGAACUAGAAGACUGAGGAUCCUGUACAGGGAGCUCCAUGGCUUAUGCUGAAGAUGAUGACACCUGAUAUAAUGUCUGAGUCAUACCCUCCCCAGACUGGGGUACUGUUGGUGCUAGCUCAGCAGCUGCUAUUGUGGACUCAUCCUGUGACCCCUCCUCAAACUGAAAGUCCUAUGUAAACUCCUCCUCUUAAGCCUCCUCAGACUAGGAAGAGUGUUGGGGAUAAGUCCUGGCCAACAUUAUCUUCGGCUCGUGGACUGGUAUGGUUGCAGCUGUAUAGGCUCCAACAUGUGUAGAUGUGGUACAAGUGUCCCAUUGUGUCCAUGCUGAUAGAUAAAUACCCAAUGUGGCUACAAUAAUGAAUUCGGCUGCAGCUUGCCUCUAGCCUUUAGUCUGAGGGGCUGCUGGUCUGUCCAAAAUGACCGAGUACUCCUCUACUGAGGUACUCCUCUCAAGGGACUCGUCUUGAUAUCUUGAAUUUUAUGCCCUCUUCUUUGAAGCCUAUGGUGCUAUAAUACCUUAAAAAGCAAGUGUUAGUGUCUGAUGGAGAACAAAGGAGUGAUAAAAUUAAAGAAAAUUCAAAAUUAUUCAAAUUCAGAUUUUUUUCAAAAUUUUCCAUCCCUAUACAAUCGAAUUAGCCCAUUCCAAUCUAAUUGGGCUCACUCAACUUAUAUUAAAUUUCAAAAUACAGGUAAGGCAUGAAUGACUUGUAGAUUUCAUCAACAUUUUCAACUUCUAUACAGUUAGGGCAUGGUCAUAGAGUUUUACUUCAAGAAAAAUGCACCAAUUUUAAUUUUUUUUAUUAUUCAAAGCUCCUAUAAACAAGAUUUUGAGUUUCAAAAAGUUUGCAAGUAUAUUCAAGUACCAACUCAUUUAUUUUUUAUUAAUAUCACACUGCAAUUGCAAUACUCACAGGAGCAAAGAAAUUUACCUUGCUUAUUUGAUUUUGAAUGAUGGGAGUAGAAACUUGAAAAGUAUAGAAACCCUAGCCUUAGAGAAUGUUUAUACGUGUUGAUGAUGGACUAAGAGAUGAAUCUUUCCUUUUAUAGAAUUUGAGAGGAAGUUUCAAGUUUGAAUUUUUAGAGAGAGUUGGAAAUUUAGAGAUUAUGGGGCUUUUGAACGGGUUUCCAAGCUUUUAAAGAGGGUGGUAGGCCGAUUUUGGGUUGGGUCCUUGACAACGCGCAAGCGCACACGCAAGUGUACAUGGUCUUAUCAAGUAGUAAAGUGGCUUCAUGAAAGCCCAAGUAUCAAUCUCUCAGGGACUUGCGUUCGCCGCCUAUCUAAUUCUAGUCUAACAAAUUGAAAAAAGUUAACAAAUAGAGUUUUAGAAAACUAAAAAGAAACUAAACUAAUGCAGAAAAAUAAUGACAUAGGACAAUUAAUGGAUAGAAACCCAGGAUUAAGGCUUACGAAUAAUCAUACUAUGUUGUUGAACAUCAUUUGUUAACUUGCUUAUCUUGGUUAUUGAUCGUAGGGUUAAUUGCAUGAUUACGGUUUCCCAACCUCUAAUCCUUUACCUAAGUUGAACCUUACAACUACAUUGUUGAGCGGGGACAUAAUAAUCCAAUUAGGUUAUUUAAGCUAUCUUCCUACGUGUGAAUGAAGUAAGGCAUCUAAGUACAUUGCUGUCCUAGAUGCUAAUUCAAGUCUCUUAUUUUGUAAAGAAACAAGAACCAUACUUUGUUUAUUCCCUUAUUCUAUCUCCCUAUUCCCUCUCCCGAGAUAACAAGGUUGACAAUUGAUGUACUCUAAGGGUAGCUAAUCUAUAAAAUAGUUAAAUAAGAAAAAAAAAAAAGCAACCAAUAAUGAUAAUCAAAUAAACAGACUUAAAUUAAAAUGAAAUAAUUAUAAUCUUGGCCUUAACCCUGGAAAGGGAGUUUUAACCUUUAAUGGAAAUAUUCAUCAUCUAAUCCCUUGGAUUGAUGAUCAAAACCAUGAAAGAAACUAAAUUAAGGAAUGAUAAAACCUAAAUAAUGUGUAGAGCAGCCUCCUCUUGUCCAAAGGAGUCCAAAAGUAAAUAAAAAUGUGCAUAAGGUCUUAUUUAUAGUAGAAGUAAUAUCCCAUGCCUUGUUGAACAAGGAAACAGUUUCUGGUCGUCUGCGAACCCAGUGAUUAACGCAUUGGAGGGCAUUGCGUCGCAUAUAAAUCACAUUGUUCACUGUUUUAGGUGCCUUCUGAAUCCAUUGGUGGGUCACACGCGCCCAGGAUCCUUCCCAUGAGCCCACACUCUCCCAAUACUUUUCAGGUAUCCAAAUUGGCGUCAAGCUGUGUUUUGCGCUUCCGUGAUCCAUUCCAAGCUUUUUUGAGUUUUUUCCACUUGAUUUGAAGCUUGAACAUCCUUCAUGUAUCAUCAUAUUCCAUUAACCAAGAAUCCUAUAACACUAAACACAACAAUUUAAAUCUCAAAAUAACACAACAUCCUCAAGGAUGAACUAGAAACACGAGCUAAGCAUAGGCUAAAUUCACAUUGAGCUUUAAUUUAUUGUUUUGACUAUUUUCUCGAACCAAUUGACCCUUGAACAUUUUAAAAAAGUUGUUUCACAUAUAAAUACAUAAUAAAAAUCUUAGUAACUCAUUAAAACACAUUAGAACCUAACACAAUAGACUAGACAAACACCAAGCUCAAACUAGUCACACUAGUUUUCUCGUUUGACUUCCAAAUGAUCAUUUUGAAUCAAAACUUGUGUGGGAACACCAUUAAACAUUGUAAACACAUUCAUGGACACUUAUAUGCACAUUUAUAUCAUUAUCAACACAUUUAUCACAUGAAUUAUCCUCAAAACAAGGCUAAAUAAGCUAGAAUAGUAGCGUUAGAAUGCAUAAAUAAACCCAACAUCACCACCCCACAGUUAAAGCCUUGUUCAUCCUCGAACUACUCUUAACUAUAAACACCAUGAGCUGAAGAGACUACAUACUUCUACUAAAUGCAAGACAUUCAAGAUAACACUACAAUGACUACACGAUAUGCAAGUGUACAACUCUAAGCAUGUUAUAAACAAUUGAAAGUUCAAGAAUUCUACUUCAAAACAUCCUAGCGUCAACAAUUGACUCAUUACAUGUCAAACUCAUGCAUAUUGUUCAAUAUAAGACGUCAAAAAAAUCACCCAUACUCAUCAAAUAUGUGCCCCUUACAAUAAGAGAGUUACCCAUAAUCACUCACAAUUAAGCAAUUUAUCAUAAUGGGUACAAAAGUCAAAUUACACUCACUCUCACAAAGAAUUCACAAAUUACACAUAAUGAACCAUAGUCUUGCUCUUAGUGUAGUGCUCCACUAAUACUGGAAUGAUGAACUUAGGAUCAAAUAGGUUUAUUUUGGGUUGUAAUAAAGGCUAAAGGACAGGUAGGAAAUAUUUUGGCCAAAAAUAGUAACUAACCUCUCUAAGCACUUUAAUACAUCCCUUUUUAUAAUUAAAACCAAUCUCUAACAACCAAAGUGCACUUUUUCAUCCACCCAUAUCUUUUAUUCUUGCCCCAUCUCUUUUAAGCAUUUUUACAAACACUUGAUGGACGCAUAGUUUACUACCACAUAAAUUAUUUUUUCUCUUUUUCACAAUCAUGGCAAUAUUUCUAGUAUACACCCAUCUUCCACACAUCAAUUAUAAACACCAAUAACUAUUACCUUGAGGCAUCAAUUUCACCUUUUUCUUCUUCAAUUUCUUAAACUCCUUACUAAAUCAAUAUUUUUCAAUUAAAGUACUUAGGAGCUUUUAGGAUCAAAUUAUGUUCUAUCACAGAAGGGAUUAUGCUACUUAUGUGGCUACCAAAUAAAAGGCUAAAGGCUCAAUGGAGGUUAACUAGGAUUUUGCACAAAGGGUAGGCAAAAGAAAAGGUAAAAACAAGGCUAUCAAAGAAAUGCCUAAAUCAUCUCCUAAACCCACACUCUUUAUUUCUCUUUGCACACACACCGGACAAGUUCUAGACAUCACAUGCAACAAGGACUAUACAAAAAAACUUACACGCACAUGGCACAUGCUCAACUCAAUAGGAUCAUCACAGAUUCCCAACCAAACAAUAACAUGAAUUCAAAGUUAAGACAAAAAGUACAAGAGUCACAAAAAUGAGCUUAGAAGUCUUAAAAGUAGCAAUUCACUCAUCCAACAUGCUUUUACCAAACAAACCUACUUGCAUCAUGAAAUCAAAAAUAGCACCAACAAGAAUAUCUCACUUAUUUAUCACCAAAAAAUUUUAAAUUAAGCCAAAUUUUGGGAAUUUUUCCUACCACCCCACACUUAAAAAUCUACUUUGUCCCCCAAACAGAAUUUAAAAGUAAGAGAUAGAAAUAUUCUCUGAGUCCAUUAGACCUAGCUAGCAGUAUCUUUUUGCACAAACGAGAUCCGUGGGACCCCAUACUUAGUCUUUGCCAUGCUCCUUAGCUGAAGUUUAUGGUACUCAGACUUCCCAUUAGCCUGUGACUCAACUAAAAAAAACUAUGUGAAAUAAAAACUAAAAAAAACUGAAAAGAAAACAUACCUAAGCUUGGGUUGCCUCCCAAGAAACGCCUAAUUUAGUGUCGCGGCACGACCCAAUCAACUUUUUUCUCCACCUUGAGGAUAUAAAUUUUACCCCCAACUUAGCAUCCAUCUUUUUUCCCCGUUCAUAUGGGGGUGGUACAAAAAUUAAGGAAUCAAGUAAUGGAAUGUGCAUGGUAAACCACUCGGCCUUGAAGUGAGGUAUGUUUUUAUGUUACUUAUCUGGUGUAAAAUCAAGAAUAUAGGAUUCUUGUUCCUCAUCUUCACACUCUUCCACUACUUUAAAUGAUUCCACAAACAAGACAUCAUCUAAACAUAAUGUAGAAAAGUGCUUCGAAUGAGGCCCAACCAAUCCUACUUCAAAAUUUACACUAUCUACUACACACUCACUUUUAUUUACCUUCUCAAUUUUAGUCUCAAGAUAAAGAUGACAAUCGAGUGGCUGCGAUUCUUAUGUUUCUCCACAAAUUGGCUAAUAUCCUCCUUAUAUUUUUCUUUGCUUAGCCAUUGUAGACAUGGUGGCAAUGGUAUCUCCUCAACCUGUUCAACAAUUUUAGUUUUCGAGCACUCAGACUUUCUCAAAUUAUCCGCAACUUUAUCUACAAUAGGUUAGGAAGUCAACUCGACAUCUACCUCCAACUUAUUAUCCAAUUGCUCUACAGUCUCUCGAUAGUCAUUAUGUCUGCCAAGAACUGUACUUGAGACGCUAAAAUUUAUUUCAGUAUCUCUUCCAUUUUACUCGUUUGAGUUGUGGCCUACAUAUUUAGUUGUUGCUGCUGAAACUGCUGUUGUUGGUCUAUGAUUGAGUUUGUGACUGAUUCAGCCCCGUUCGAUUGUAGUAGUUUAUAUAAUUUUGCCUUUCAGCAUAACCUACAAACAAUUCUGAAUUAGGAUUGACAACACACAUAGCUGCAGUAUGACCACUUUGAUCACAAACCAAACAUCAAGCUACAGUCUGCUUCAUAGAUAGAACAACAUCCGCAUCAUAUGGUGAAGGUCCUGUCCACACACUUUCAUCAAAAUAUGGAUAAUAAGCUGCUUGAUGUGGUCCCCCAUAAAAACAACAAGAAUCAUCAUCACUUGAAAAUCAUCUAUUCCAGGAUGACAUAUCAAGAAGUGCGAUAAAAAGAGAAAUAAAAGAAAAUAAAAAAAGACGAAAAGAACAAAAACUAUUUACAACUCAAUAUAGAAACACUAAAAGUAAGAUAAUUGCCUAAUUACAAGUCUCCAGCAACGGCGACAAAAAUAUGACAGCGCCCAAGAACACAUGCAAGUGUACGUGGUCUUAUCAAGUAGUAAAGUGGCUUCAAGAAAGCCCAAGUAUCGAUCUCUCAGGAACUUGCGUUCGCCGCUUAUCUAAUUCUACUAUAAAAAUUUGAGAAAAGUUAACAAAUAGAGUUUUAGAAAACUAAAAAGAAACUAAACUAAUGCAGAAAAAUAAUGACAUAGGACAAUCAAUGGAUAGAAACCCACGGUUAAGGCUUACAAACAAUCAUACUAUGUUGUUGAACUUCAUUUGUUAACUUGCUUAUCUUGGUUAUUGAUCGUAGGGUUAAUUGCAUGAUUACGGUUUCCCAACCUCUAAUCCUUUACCUAAGUUGAACCUUACAACUACAUCAUUGAGCGGGGAUGUAAUGAUCCAAUUAGGUUAUUUAAACUAUCUUCCUAUGUGUAAAUCAAGUAAGGCGUCUAAGUACAUCCCUAUCCUAGAUGCUAAUUCAAGUCUCUUAUUUUGUAAAGAAACAAGAACCAUACUUUGUUUAUUCCCUUGUUCUAUCUCCCUAUUCCCUCUCCCGAGAUAACAAGGUUGACAAUUGAUGUACUUUAAGGGUAGUUAAUCUAUAAAAUAGUUAAAAUAAGAAAAAAAAAAAAAAGAAGCAACCAAUAAUAAUAAUCAAAUCAACAAACUUAAAUUAAAAUGAAAUAAUUAUGAUCUUGGUCUUAACCCUGGAAAGGGAGUUUUAGCUUUUAAUGGAAAUAUUCAUCAUCCAAUCCUUUGGAUUGAUGAUACAAACCAUGAAAGAAACAAAUUAAAGAAUGAUAAAACUUAAAUAAUAUAUAGAGCAACCUCCUAUUAUCCAAAGACAUCCAAAAGUAGAUAAAAAUAUGCAUAAGGUUCUAUUUAUAGUAGAAGAAAUAUCCCAUUCCUUGUUGAACAAGGAAACAGUUUUUGGUCGUCUGAGAACCCUGUGAUUAACGCGUUGGAGGGCAUCGCGUUGCUUCUAAAUCAUGUUGGUUCACUGUUUUGGGUACCUUCUGAAUCCAUUGGUGGGUCGCAUGCGGCUAUGAUCCUUUCCAUGCGCCCACACGCUCCCAAUAUUUUUCAGGUGUCCAAAUUGGCGUCAAGCUGUGUUUUGUGCUUCCGUAAUCCAUUCCAAGCCUUUUUGAGUUGUUUCCACUUGAUUUGAAGCUUGUAAAUCCUUCAUAUAUAAUAAUAUUCCAUUAACCAAGCAUCCUAUAACAUUAAACACAUUAAUUUAAAGCUAAAAAAAACACAACAUCCUCAAUAAAUAACUAGAAACACGAGCUAAGCAUAGGCUAAAUUCACAUUGAGCUUUAACUUAUUGUUUUGACUCUUUUCUUGAUCCAAUUGACCCUUGAACAUUAUAACUAAGUUGUUUCACAUAUAAAUAAAUAAUAACAAACCUUAGUAACUCAUUAAAAUAGAUUAGAACCUAAAAUAAUAGACUAGACAAACACCUAGCUCAAGCUAGUCACUCUAGUUUUCUCAGUUGACUUCUAAAUGAUCAAUUUGAAUCAAAACUUGUGUUGGAACACCAUUAAACAUUGUAAAAACAUACAUGGACACUUAUAUACACAUUUAUCUCAUUAUAAACACAUUAAUAGCUUGAAUCAUCCUCAAAACAAGGAUAUAUAGGCUAGAAUAGUAGCGCUAGAAUGCAUAAAUACAACCAAUAUCAGUCCCCUUGGGAUGGGCCCAAAUUUUUUAAAAAAAUUAGGCCCAAUAAGACUACCACCUACGAAGCCACUUAUGACACGUAGAGUGUAACCUACUGCCCAUAGAUGGUAGGGCGCAGGUAGCAGGCAUUUUUUCCAGUCUUCUGAACUUUGUGUUCUAAUAUCUAAGACACUACUUACGAGACGUAACUGGUAUUUAUGACACCAUAAGUAGGUUUAUAGGUAGAAGUUAAGAGACCCUCCAAAGAAUUAUCCAAAUUUCCCUCUGUCAUUUAUUGCACAACGUACCUUGUCUUGAGUGGGACUUAUGCCUGCAUAAGUGGGUCAAUAAGUCCCCUUACCUAGAGCUUUCUGACUGUAGCAAUUACUUACUAUGUUCCAGGUAGUUCCUCAUGUUACAAACCUACAAAAAAAAGAAAAAAAAUAUGAACACUAAAACAGUGGGUUGCCUCUCACCCAAUGCUUAAUUUAACAUUGCGGCACAACAUGGCUACAUUGGUUACUCGGACUUGACUAACAAUCCCAUAGGUUGCCUCUCAUGCAGUGCUUGAUUUUAUGUUGCAGCACGACGUGGGUACCUGGAUUACUCAGACUUCAUCAAGGUAACCAUAAAAGUGGCCUAUAGGGUCAUCAACACAUUUUAUUACCAAUACGACCCAUAUGUUAGCCGGCUGUUUCACUUUCCAAUGAACAUUGAAUGUGACCUCCUCAUUAUUCAGUUAGAACUUAAACUUUCCUUUCUCCAUAUCCACCAAAGCUCUGCUCGUGGACAAAAAUGGUCUUCCCAAAAUUAUGGGCAUCACAAAGUCAACUUCACAAUCCAAGACAACAAUGUCGACUGGAAAGAUGAAGUUGUCCAUCUUAACCAAGACAUCACAAGAUACGCUUACAGGCUUCUUCACCAUACAAUCUACCAUCAACAACCGCAUGGAUGUAGGUUUAGGAAGUCACAAGCAAAAAUAUUUAAAUACUGUCAGCGACAUCAAGUCAAUAUUGGCACCCAAGUCACAUAAUGCUCUGGCAAACUUAGAUGUCCCUAUGUUGCAUAGGAUCAUGAAUGCUCUGGGAUCACCCUUCUUUUAUGCCAGAGAUCGCAAGUGAUCGCACUAUAAUGAUGCAGACCAUAGAUGUCCUCAUAAGUGACACCUCUUUUUUUUGUCACCAACUCCUUCAUAAACUUUGCAUACUCAGGCGUCUGCUCAAGAGCUUCAAGAAGAGGGAUAUUCAAGCUCAACUCUUUCAGCAAAGUAAUGAACUUUUUAAAUUUCCCUUCUUCUUUCUUUUGCUUCAACCUCUAGGGAAAAGGUGGGAAGGUCUUGGAAUAGUCUUUAAUACUAGUUCAUCGACCUUUCCCUUACCUUUGUACUUCUCAACCCUGAUGGUUGUGAUGACUCGGUAUUAGUCACAAACUUUUCUAGCUCUUAUUCAAGUGUCUCAUCAAUCUCAACUCUAUCAUUUCUUAACUCAUCAAUAGCAGGCAUGGGGGAUUGAUAGUUUCCUUACCACUUCGAGUAGUGAUAGUUAGAUAGUGACUUUCGUUCUUAGAAUUCUACAUUGUAUUGCUUGGAAGGGUACCCGGCUGCCACCGAUUCAAGGUUGCAUACAUUUGUCUAAAUUGUUGUUCCAAUUACUUUAUCACAAUUGCAUGUAAUUGUACCUUCUGGGUCAACCCCAAAAUGUCUAUCCUAAUCUCCUUAAGGAAAUUUUAUUGACUUUCCUGACCCUUUACCAACUUUGAAAACAUCGCCUUCAUCCUUGAUUAAGUGUCACAACUGCCUGGUAGAAAUACACACCACCCUUACAUUUAUAAUUAUCCUUACAUCUCUAGUCACCAUCCCUCUCUCGGCUCAAAUCUCUGUACCUAUCCCCGUAGUAGUUCCGACCUUGGUUCCCUUACACCUUGGCUCGAAACCCCGCCAACUCUCUAUCUAGAUAUUUUUCCUCUUCUUCUAGAUCGGAGUUAUAUAAUUUAGAGGAUUUACCUUGAGAGCCCAUUAUAUUUACCUUCUAAUAAUUCAUUGUCGCUAACUGCUAUAUCAACAACCCAACCUCCAUCCUUAGCUCAGCAACCUCUUACGCUUCUGUGUCAUCAACAAAUCUAUGUUUGCUGGAAGCCCCAAUAACAUAAGUGUCAGUACCUCUCCCUACCUCCUGAGUAUGCGACCCUCAGUUGGUGAUAGAUAUCUAAUCUAAUAUCACCGAUGCUACCUCCCAACUUAGGCGUAUGAAUGCUACACCAGUAAUAGUAUCUUCCAUUGCUUUCGAACUGGUGUUGAGGGUUCGAUAGAAUAUUUCAAGCAAGUUAUUUCCUACAAUUUUAUGAUUCGGCACCAUCAUCAACUUCUUCUUAAAUCGAAAUCAUGCCUCACACAUUGACUCUGAAUGCAGCUGCCUGAAAUUAUAUAUCUCAUCCUUCAAAUGUAGCAUUCUGGAAAGGGGGAAUAAAUGAUCUAAAAAUUGCCUCUACAACUUAUUCCAAGUAGUUCCCUAAACCAUAAUGUAACUUCACUAGUUAAAGAGAAAGAGAACAACCUUAGACUUACUGCUUACUGAUCUACCCCAGGUAUAGUGUAUGACAUACAAAUCAUAAAGCUAAUAAGGUGCAUGUUUGCGUCAUCAAUGGGCAAGCUCGCAAACAUAUCCUUUAGAUUCAACAGCUGGAUCAUGGCACUAGCAAUAUCAAACUUCACCCUCAGUGGCAAUGCAGAAGGAAUGAUAGCUUCUAUCUCAGUAGGCUCAACGUAUCCCAAGGCCUCCUCGGAAUCAUCAUAAGGUGAUAAAUAUUGAUAGGCUGGGAGUAACUGAGCUCUACCUCUUCUACCUCUAUCGAGUUCUGGUCGGCGAUUAACUGUCAGUCUCUGCCUCGCUAGCUCUACCUCCUGAGCUGCAUGACGGGAAACCUCAUUAUCCCUUGCCGUAUUUGCUUCAACCAAUAAUCACUCGGUAGUCUGAUCCACAGUCUCCUAAAUUACACCCGAUAGAGGGGGAGACAAAUUAUUUGGGUUAUUUCAAACCCCUUCAAGCUAGCCUUCUCAUCUAUAUUCUAACUUCCUACGAUUCUGCAAUAGAAUUAUUUUCGGUUCAAGAUCAAUUGGGAGUAAGGGAUUUCCUUGACUCCUUGUGCUAGGCAUACAUCGAUGUAUGCCCUAAGAAGAACAGAAAAAUAAAACAUAAAAACUUCAACAACUUUAAUUAAUAAAUCACAAUUGUAUUCCACGGCAACGAUUCCAAAAUUUGGUGUCGCCCAAAACUACACCUCCUUAGAAAUAUAUAGCGGUCGAUGUCAAAUAUAGUAAACAAACUAAGUUAGGGUCGAACCCACAGGGAAUACAUUAGAACUAUCUCUCGAAAUUAUUUAAACAGCCGGGCAGUACGAAAAAGUAAAUGGGGGAUUUGCUUUUAUUAGUAGAACGUAACAAAACUUGAAUAAUUUUGGCUGUAAACAAUCUGAAACAAACACUAGGCUUGUAUUUCCCCUAGUUUCUAACUCCGUAAUUUUAUUUUGUUCAAUCCAACUACCUCACUGUUAUGAAUGUAGAAUCUGACAAGUUAUGUCUCAUCAGCAGCCUCUCAACUCUCUUUGAUAAAUCUAAUUUAUCUCCUCUCGGUCUCAGAUUUUCGUGUUAUUAACCCUUGCUUUAGAUCCCAGAUUAACCACCUCUUCUUGGUCUCAAGUAUUAGACGAGGGUUGAUAGCCUCGAAUACUGUUGUGAUCUUUAUUUUCCAAUUUCUACCCCUCUUUCGAGUAAGUAGUGAAUACAGGUGGGUUCCAAACGUUUACAACCAUUAAGAAAUCAAUUAAAGAGAAGAAAACCCUAAUACAUGCAACAACAAUGAUUUAUAAGGAUUGCACACUUCUCCUCUUUCAUUAAUUUAUCAGGGUUUCCAUAACCCUAGUUAAGGUAAUUUAGCCGCUCAUAAUUGUGAAACAAUCCACGGAACUCAUAAUUAAAAGCAUAGAAUCAAUAUCACAAUAAUAGACGAAGAAAAUCCAAAGUUUCAAAUCAAUAAUAACCAAAAUAUCCAAGAACACAAGAAUCUCAAGAUCAAAAUCCAAUCUUGGAAUCAAAAUAUAUGUUUGUGAAUAGUAAGAGUGCGUAAACUAACUAAAAACAUCAAAAGAGUAUUUAUAAAUUACAUGAAAACUCUAGGAAACCUUUCCAAAAUAAAAGAGGAAAACUGGAGUCGGUGGCUACCGAUGGUGCCAAUUAGAUGAUGUAGGUGGCACUUACGGUCUGUAGGUGGUCCCACGUAGAUGACGGGGACUUCAAAACUUCUACAGGAUCUCUGAACUCUAAACUUCUGGCACCUACGGGCCAUAGGUUCCCCAUCCCAUAAUAUCAGCUUCUAAAUCUCUGAAACUCAACUCUCUGAUACUUGUUCUGGCACGUACGCCACGUAGGUUGUACUUGAGGGUCGUAGAUGCAAAUGUAGGUGGUCCAAAACUUCAGUUUUCACUUCUUUUCUCUUGUUUAGCUCCCAAAACCUAGUUUCCGACAAAAGAAAACACAAAAUAUAUCAUAUCUAGCAAAAGGACCUAAGUAACUGCAUAUUUUCAUAGUUUCAAGCAUCGAAAGUGCUAUGAAACCAUAGCACAUCAAGACCCUCAGAAUUCAUUUGGGAUCCUACAGAAUAAACUAUGUAUUUACUAUUAGGAUAUUUUUGACGUUUCGGACUCAAUGCUAAUGUCGAAUUUUGAAAAAGGAUCAUUUCAAUAAAUUAGCCCCCUGGACCCAUUUUUGAAAAAUUUCACUAGUUUUCAACAGAAGGAUCGAAAUGAAAAAUAAAGGUUCCAAACCCGAACCAAUUCCGCUACUAAUUCGAAGUUGACAUUCUAGAUCUAACGAAGCUGUCCAAAUCGCCACGUGUUACACUAACCAUCAAAUAUAGAUCAAAUUCAACUAUAGGACUUUUAAAACUCCUAACCUCAAACUCUCUCAAAAUUCUCCCGAAGGCAUUGGAAACCAUGCUAACUAUUCCCACACUCCAAAAUUAAUAUGUAGCAACUAUGGAAAAGGAUAAAAUAAUCAAAUCACAUAAAAAGCAAAAUUUCAUAAAUUAGAUCAUUACAAAUUGUGACCUUCUUCAGUAAAUGAAAAGUAUGCUAAAGGCAAAAUGAGACAAAUUUACUAAAUAUUUCUUGAUUUUAUAAAAAUACAAAUAUUAUUAAAUAUCUAUUUUUAAUAAAAAUGACAAAUAUAUAUAAACAAGGAAGUAUUUAUUUCGAGUAGUUAAAUUUAAGGGAAAAUGCUCUCAAAUAUACAAAAACUUUGACGAAAUUUUUUGUAACACACCUAAACUUUGCGGGGUUCCAUGACCCCCUAAAACUUUAUAGGAGUCCUACGACCUCCCCCCCAUAAGACUAUUUAUUAGCUUUUUAUUGUCAUUUAUUUGCCCUAAAUUCUUUUUCAAAAUCUCUUUUUUAGAAUUUUUUGUUUUUUCUUAACUUAUAAAUAUCACUUAAAUACACUAAUAAAUAGUUCAGGGCGGUCAUAGGACCCCCGCGAAGUUCAGAUGUGUUACAACAAGUUUCACUAAAGUUUGAGUAUAUAUUGAAUAUUUUCCCCUAAAUAUAAUAAACAAAAAUCUUCUAUUUAUAGAGAACAUUUUAACUUGGUCAAAUGGUCAAUCUCAUUACAUACAAAGUAUCCUCUAUGACUUGAUUAAAUCUGAAGGGGCACAGACGAACUAGGUAGAAUGCCCUGGCCUGAAGAAUUUAAACUGGAACCUUCACUAACAAGACCUGAUGUCGGACUAUUUAAAGUCGCAAAACCUGAAGGUCUACCACUUGAUCCCUAUAAAGUGGCCUACCAUGAUAACCACGGGAACCUCAACUCAAAAAAUCUCUGCCUCGGGAAAUGCGACCACUAAACUCACUUUGACGACACGCCUUCUUGGUGCCUCCCUGAGUAACCUGAGCAAUAGACUCGGUUAACUUGGCAUGCUCAAUAAUGAUCUGAGAAAAGUCCCUAAAAGAACUAUCUGGGCAUUAAUCAACUGAUAAAGACCCUCUAAUCUCGUUACAAGCUUACAAAUUCUCUCUAACUCGAUGGAGAUAUUAGAGGCUGAAUAUCUGGGUAAAAUGUGAAAACGUACCCCAUACUCGACAAUAGAUAUGGAACCUAGCUCCAAGUGAUCAAACUCAUCCUACAUCUGAUCUCUCAAGCUAUACGGUACAAACCUCACCAAAAAGGCCUCAGAAAAACUGAGCCCAAGUCAUAGCAGAUAAACCCAAAGGUUUAUAACUGGAUAGAGACCUCCAUCAAUCCCUAUCCACAACCAUCAAUUGAUAAGUAGUGUAAGAAACUCCAUGAGACUAAAGAGAUCCAAGAUCACACAACUUCUCAUGGCAAUCAGUCAGAAACUCAUAGGUGUCCUUGCCAACUACUACACAACUUGGGAAGAGCCAAACGAAAAAAUCAUUUAAACCUCUUCUGAUCAUCAGAAGACAACACUAUACUUGAAGCAGCUGGAGGAAUCAUAAGGAUGACAGACAAUGAACCAACAUGCGGGGGAACCAUAAAUGAUUGUUGUACCCCUGAAGUAGGAAUAUCAUAAGCAUAUGUCGAUGCAGAUGGUGGAACACCACUUGAAGUUUGAGAAAUACUCGGUACACUCAAGGGAACACCCUCCAAGCGACUCAAAAGGCAAAUCAAAAAAUCUUGAAGCACUAGGUAUCAUCUGAACUUUGUGGAAACUAAGUUGGCCCCGCACCCUCUGUUGGAUAAUCAUCACUGUAAUACGCAACCUCAAGCUCGAGAGAGGCCUUCCUAGAACAUUCUCUGGCUGAGGCAUCUCCCUAUGCUCGUGCUCUACCUCUGGAUCGACCAUGAGCCCUGCCUCAUUCUCAAAACAAGGCUCUAAUAUCGGGUGUCGGUUCAACAUCCCUAGUAUCCCUGGACCUAGUCCUCACCAUCUAUCUAAAAAAGAAUAGAAUACAAUUUUAGAAUGUUGAGAAUGAACAACCCACACGAUAAUGAAUCAUAUUGGAGAAGUUUUUCCUAAAGACAUCUUAUAGCCUCUUGAAAAUAAAUACGGACUUCUACGUACCAAUCCUAAGACUCUACUUGACAAUUUACUCUUACACUUAUUAAAUCGGUGAACCUAGCGCUCUGAUACCAAUUUGUCACAAUCCAAAAGUCGAGCUCAUGAUGGUUCUAUCUUAAUCCAAUCUUGGUAGAUAAUCCAAUAACCCAAAGAAAAGAAAAUUCAAAAGAUUAAUAAAAGAAGACAAGAUGAAACUUUUAUGACACGACCUGAACCCUGGCCUUAUCGUAAUGGACAUCCCAAGUCCAACAAGGACUAGGGACCACCCCCCACCCCCAACCCAACCUCUAAACACAUACCCUAAUUUAUAUGACUCCGAAUAUAUAACAAGAUAGAGUUAUGUAUCAUUAAAGACUCUGGGGUAGAUCCAUGAACAUGACCAACCCAAACAAGUCAAACCAUCCAAUACCUAACAAACAACCAUAGCGUAAACCAAUCCAUAACCAUUUCAUAACAUAAUAAGAUGGAGCCAUCAUAAAUUAAAUACAGUCAACCGGUAUCAACCAUAAUACUAAUACCAAUGCCAAGGUUGAUAACAAUGCCGAUACUAUCCAUACUAAUCCAUAGUAGUCUUACAAAGCCUCUAUCCGAAAGUAAAACAGAAUCUGGUUGGGACAUGCCCCCGACCAUAGCAAAAACCAAAGUCUAAAAAAAAGAAAAGUAUGAUGACAAGACCAUAACAUGAAAUAGAGUCUUCCGGAGUAAGAAAGCUCACCACUUCAAUCCAAUUCUAAGCUAUUCUGAAUUCGAUCACUGAGCAAGAGGAGUAAUAUGGUCAGUUCUUACAUCAAAUGGGGAUACAACACUCGAAGAUGGGUUAGGGGGUGAACGCUAGUGUGCACUCAAGAUAAGGAUAAAAUAAUGUCAAUAUUUAAAACUAAGUAAAUAACCAUAUGCAUUCACAUCCAUACAUAUAUAUAUAAUCUAUGACGGGAAAUGGAAUCAGGUUUAGCAUACACUUAAAACUAUGAACCUGGAUUUGUGUAGCUUAACCGCCUAGAAGUACCCAUGGGCUAUAUGGGUCCAGUGUUACCCCCUGAACGGGCCCCAGAGCAGGUCACCGCAUGUAUAGGAGAAAUCAUAAGGGCAGGGGAUUCUCGUGUACCCUUCACCCUCCAUGAUACAUAUAUACAAGUUUAACUUAGGGGAUUCUUGUGUACCCCAUAAGUAUAUGGUCGCCAUAACCAAUCCUCAUGUCGGCAAACAUGAGUUUCCAGUAUUCAUCCAUUAAACUCACACCUUCACAGUUACUAUCACAACCUGUCAUUAUUGCCUAAUUAAAAUCAUUAGCACACAGCCAAACCACCAAUUCCAUAUAUUAUUAACCAAGGCUAUAAGAAGUUGUAUCAUCAUACGGACUAUAUCUUACAAGCAAUGUCCUUAGCCAAUCGCCUAGGGGAUUCCUAUGUACCCUGUAGGUUCCAUUAUUAGAUUCACUUGGGGGAUUCCCAUGUACCCCAUAAGGUUUUAAUCAAAGCCAUGGCCAUCAAGGCCUUGCAAUUAGGCCAUUAAAACCAUUUAACCAAUUUAGGUUCCAUUACCAUAUUAUAGCAUGCAAAGUUUUCAAUAAAAGUCCAAAUGUGUAAUAAAAAUAUUUUCAUAGGCAUUUUAACAAACAUGUUGAGGGCAUAUAGUUUCCAAAACCAAGUAUCAAUUGACCAUUUCCAUGCAACCACAUGUUUAAGCCACCAUUAUAAUAUGAAAACCAUAAGUAAAAACAUGAGAAAACAUAAAUCAAUCAUUAAUAACAAAAAAACCCAACAUAUAAUUCAAAACCCAAAACUAUAUCAAAAUUAUGCCAUGAAAACCAUUCAUGAAACAUUCCUUUAGUUGAACUAAUAAUGAGAGAGAAGAAACAUACCUUAGAUUAUGAAGAAGACAUAGAGAAAUCACCCCUUUAAAGCCUUAAUUAACCACCCUGAAGGAAGCCCUAGCCUUUGCUUAAACCAAGAGCUUGAGAGAGUUUCUAAGUGUUUAAGAUUAGAAUAAUAGGGUAAAUGAUGUCCCAAUAGUGUUUUAGGUCAUGGGGUCAUAAGGGGUUAAGAGGGGAAAUGUCCAGAAUACCCCCAACUUAAACUGUAAAAAUUCUCGCAAAAAGGUACUACUCCCCCUUGAAUCAUACUCAUAUAAUACGAGUGGUACCUACCACUCGUACCUUAGACAGGAUGUUAGACAUCACACACUAUCCACCAUACGACUUCCCAUUGCCCCAGUUUUACCAUAAUCAUAUGAUCCUUACCUUCAACCCGUAUCUUAGGCAGAAACAUUUAGGUUGGAUAUUGGACAACAUACGAUUUAGAUUAUACCACUCGUACCCUUUCCUUACGGCUUAUAGUGAGCCACUCGUACUCAAAAGCAAGUCAAAUCACCAAGUUUCAGAUUAAGUGAAGGAUCAACCAACCAACCCAUUACCAACCAUACGAACCGUACCACCAAACUAUAACUAAACAAAAAACUCAACUACCAAACACUGGUUAGCAUAUGAACUGGGUCACACAACCCGUAUCCUCACUAUACGGGUCGUAUGGUGAGUUGUAUGAUCAACAGAGACCCAAAACCCAAGAAAUUUUCCAAGGGACAAAACCCUGAGUAUUUCAAUUCUCCCCCACUUGAAUCAUUCAUCCUCGAGUGAUAGAACGAGGAAAUACAAGCGUGAUUUACACCCCAAUACCUCGACUCUAACCUUUAGCUAAGUUAGAAAACAAAGAUGCAAAGAAAUCAAUCUUUCUUUUAACAAAGUUUGAAAAUAAAAGUAUGAUGAAGAACACAUACAUUCUGCACGAAUUUCUAGAGCAGAAAACAGAAAUAGAUAUUUGGAUUUCAUGUCCUCUUCCACUUCCUAAGUAGCUUCUUAAACCUUGUGGUUCCUCCAUAGAACCUUAACUAAAGCUACAUCUUUGGUCUACAACCGACAAACCUGUCAAUCCAAGAUUGCAAUUGGAACCUCCUCAUAGGGUAAAAAAUUCGAGAUACCAAUAUCUCUAAUAGGCACGAUUUGAGAUGGAUCACCCAUACACUUCCUCAAGAUAGAAACAUGGAACAUUGGAUGAAUGGAGUUCAAACUAGAAGGCAACUUCAACUCAUAUGCAACCUUACCAACCCUAUGCAAAACCAAGUAAUGACCCAUAUACUGGAGACUGAUCUUCCCCUUUUUACCAAACCACAUUACUCCUUUCAUGAUAGACACUUUUAAGAACACCUUAUCCCCAACCGCAAACUCUAACGCUCUUUCUUUUAUAUUCGUACAGGACUUCUGGCGACUUUGGUCAGCCUUAAAUCUAUCUCGAAUCACCUUUACCUUUCCUAUAGCUUGGUGAACCAAAUUUGGGCAAACACUUCUGCCUCUCCAACCUCAAACCACCCAAUAGGAAACCUAUACCUCCUACCAUACAAGACCUCAAACGGAGUCAUCCCAAUGCUAGAGCGAUAGUUAUUAUUGUAAGAAAACUCUAUAAGAGGUAAAUUCUCAACCCAGAUACCACCAUUGUCAAUCACAUACGCACACAACAUGUCCUCUCAUAUUUGAAUAAUUUACUCUACCAGCCCAUCAACUAUGAAUGGAAAGCAGUACUUAGACUCACCCCUAACCCAUUCUGAAAUAACAGCCAAAAGUGAGAUAUAAACUGCGUGCUACGAUCAGAGAUGAUAGAGAAAGGCACCCCAUGCAGAUUUACAAUCUUAUGAAGAUACAAUCUCGUAUAAUUCUCAGCCGAAAAGUUAGUCCUCAUUGGCAAAAAGUGAGCCAACUUUGUCAUCUUAUCCACGAAGAACCAAAUUGAAUCAAACUAAUUUUAAGAUCAAGUAAGACCGGUAAUCCAUGUUGAUCACGUCCCAUUUCCAUUUAGGCAAUUCAAUUUCUUGAUACAAUCUUCCGAGUCUCAUGUGCUCAACUUUCACUUGUUGACACACCAUGUACUUGGCCACAAAAUCAACCAUAUCCCUCUUCAUACCAUUCCACUAAUACAUCUCCUUAAGGUCAUGAUACAUCUUUGUCAAACCAGGAUGAGCAACAUAGCACGAUUCAUGCUCCUUAACUAAGAUCCUUUCUCAAAAACCAUCAACAUCGGGAACAUAUAACCUUCCAUGGUACUGCAAGGUACCAUUACCACUAUUCUCGAAGGCCAUCACCUUCUGCUCACCAACAUCACCCUAGAUCCUUAACAAAAUAGGAUCUACCAUCUAUUUCUCUUUGAUUUCAGCACCAAGAGAUGAUAGGGCCACCUUCUGAACGAAUACACCACCAUCCUCAGAGUCCAAGAGAUUAACUCCAAGGUUAGCCAAAUAGUGAGUAUCCUUCACCAACUCCCGCUUAUCAUUAUUCACAUAAGUAAAACUCCCCAUUGAUAACCUGCUAAGAGCAUCAACAACUACAUUAGCUUUACCUAGAUAGUAGUAAAGACUCAUGUCAUAGUUUUGAGAAGCUCAAGCCAUCUCUUUUGCUUGAGGGUAAGCUCUUUCUGAGUGAACACAUACUGCAGGCUUUUAUGAUCGAAAAAGAUAUCCACAUGCACUGAAUACAAAUAGUGACGUCAAAUUUCAGUGCAAACACACAACUAACUAUUCCAAAUCAUGAGUAGAAUAAUUCUUCUCACGCCCCUUCAACUGCCUAGAAGCAUAGGCUAUCACCUUACCAUGCUGUAUCAAAAUACAAUCAAGUCCCACACGAGACGUAUCGCAGUAAACUACAAACCCAUCAGUGCCUUCAGGCAAAGUCAAAAUUGGAGUCGAAGUUAGCUUAUCCUUCAGUUUCUCAAAACUACCCUCACAUGCAUCAGACCACAAAAACUUAACCUUUUUCUGAGUCAAUAUAGUCAAUGGGGAAGCUAUAGAAGAAAAGUUCUCCACAAACCUUCUGUAGUAACCAGCUAAAAUAAAAAAGCUACGAAUAUCAACUGAAAUUGUGAGUCUAGGCCACUUCUUAACCACUGCAACCUUUUGUGGAUCUACCAUAAUCCCCUCACUAGAAAUAAUAUGACCUAGAAAAGUGACAGCGUUUAACGAGAACUCACAUUUAGAAAAUUUAGCAUACAACUGUUGCUCAUUCAAGGUCCACAACACCACAAAGAGGUGAUUGAAAUGAUUCACCUCACUCUUAGAGUACAUCAGAAUGUCAUCUAUGAAGACAAUGACAACAGAUCCAAAACUGAUGAAAGACCUAAUUCAUUAAAUCCAUGAAUGCCAUCGGGGCAUUGGUUAAACCAAACGACAUCCCCAAGAACUCAAAGUGCCCAUACCGGGGCCGAAAAGCAAUCGUAGAGAUAUCCACCUCCCUAAUCUUAAGCUGAUGAUACCCAGAUCGAAGAUCAAUCUUACAAAAGAAUUUGGCACCCUGCAACUGAUCAAACAAGUUAUCUAUCUAUGGAAGAGGAUACUUGUUCUUUACCAUCACCUUAUUCAACUGGCGGUAGUCAAUACACAUUCAAAGGGAACCAUUCUUCUUAUGCACGAACAACACCGGUAAACCCCAUGAGGACGUAUUAGGAUGGAUACAAACCUUAUCCAAAAGUUCCUUUAACUGCUCUUUAAGCUCCUUCAAUUCUGUAAGAGCCAUCUAUAAGGAAGGGAUAGAAAUUGGAUGAGUGUCUAGAGUAAGAUCAAUCUAAAACUUAAUUUCCCUAUCUAGAGGGACACCAGGAAGGUCAUCAGGGAAGACCCUAGGAAAUUCAUUCACCACCGGAAUUAAAUGCAAAGAAGGACCCUUCGAGUUAAAAUAUUUAACCCAGACUAGAUGAUAGAGAUAGCCCUUAGAGAUUAAUCUCCGAGCUAUAAGAUAUGAUAUAAACUUUCCCUAAGGAGCUAGAGAACGACACUCCCACUCAAUUACAUACUUAUUAGGAAAUUCAAAUACAACCCUACGGGUUCAAUAAUCUAGGGAUACAUAGCACGAGUGCAACUAAUCCAUCCCUAAAAUAAUAUUGAAUCAACUAUAUCUAAUUCAUACAAAUCCACAAAAGUCUCUUUACUACCAACAGAUCCUACACACCCCCUAUUGACUCUUUUAGCAAUCAUAGAGUCACCUACUGAGGUAGAAAUAGAAAAAGAGUCCAAUACAUAUUUCGAACCAAAACCAAAAUACGCAGCCACUAAGGAGGUCACAUAAAAGAGAGUGGACCCCAGAUCAAGUAAAUAAUAUACAUCGCAAGAAAAGAGUUGCAAUAUACUAGUCACGACAUUAGGUGAUGCCUCGGACUCCUAUCGGGUAGUGAGUGCAUAAAGACGAUUCCGACCAAUGUCGAAACUAGAUUAUGCACCCUUUGGUGAUGGAGCUGAUGAUGAAGCAACCAAAACCUAAUUCGACCAAGAGACAACCUUACCAAUAGGAUAUUUUCUAAACUUAUAGCCUGGCUGACCAUAGCCAAAGCACCUGUCCAUUCCCUCAUCAUAGAAACUCCUAUACAGAUGACAACAAAACCUAUAGGGAGAACACAAUGGAGCUGACUGAGCCCUAAUAGCUUGAGAUUGGGCACCCUAUGCCCUGAAGUUAUCACCAUUAUGAAAACGCCUAUCACCCGACGACUUUGGGUAGGGAGCACUAGCCCUCGAAUAAGACCUAGAGUUUCCCCACUUUUUCUUGGGCCACUUACCACCCUCCCUACUACUCUGUUAUUGGCCACCACCUUAUUCAGAGAACUUAAACUUCUUACCCUGCUUCUCCCCUAUUUCAGUCUGCUUUUUCUUCUCUUCCCCUACCUGUUGCAUAUAGACAACCAACCUAGAGAUAUCCAUGUCCUUGAUCAGCAAGGUAGCCUUACUUUCAAGAAUCAACUCAUGAGAUAAUCCUGAAGCAAACUCUCUCAUUCGGGCCCUCAUAUCAGACACUAUCUCUAGAGCAAUACCCAGCUAACUAGUGAAACUUCAAGACAUACUCCUUGACCGACUUUCUCUUUUACUUCAAAUUAAUAUACUCCUCCGCUUUCACUUCCCUUAACUCUUGAGGAAAGAAGCAGUCCAAGAAUGUAUUAGUGAAAUCCUUCCACAAUGAUGACUCAUCAGUGUCACCCCUUGCCUGAUCCUAUUCUUCGUACCAUUAGCACGCCAUAACUUUCAGCUGAUAGUCCACAAAGUCCACCCCUUUCACAUUUGUGGCAUGCAUAACCCUAAAAAUCUUUUUCAUCUCAUCUAGAAAACCCUAAGAAUCCUUCUCCACCUUAGCACCCAAAAGGUCGAAGGGUUCAACCUCGUGAAAUGGACAAACCUUGUAGCUUCAAAAGAUGGAGUAAUAGGUACACCACGCUCAGACUAAGUAUCUAUCAACCGUGCAACAUAUUAAUAGACUGACGAAACUCAGCAUUUGUUACAUCAGCUUGAGGAGUCUGAGAAGGACUAGAAGGAAUUGGUGGAACUCCAGAAUGAUCCAGAAUUGGAACCCUAGACCGAGUAUGGAUCCCAUGAGUAGAUCAUAUCCUAUUAACACUGUCCUCAGUUGGGACAAAGGAGUUUUCAUUAACUUCAAAUCGUUGAGGCAUGAUCUGAAAAACGAACAAACGGGAGUUAGAAAAGAUUCUAGGACUUAGACUCCAAAUCUUGAUAAUAGAACACAAGAAAGAGAAACAUUCCUAAAUGCCUUGUAGCCUCUCCCUUAUGAAUGUGGUGUGCUACACAUCCUUAAAGGGACUCUACUCAACAUGGCUUUGUGGACUCUUAGUUGACCAUGAACCUAGUGCUCGGAUACCAACUUGACGCAACUCGAACUAGGGCCUUGUCAUAAUGGGCAUCCCAAGUCCAACAAAGAUUGAUGACCACCCCCGAUACCCAAUACAACCUCCAAACACAUACCUUAAGUUGAAUGAAUUCUGAACAUAUAACAAGAUAGAGUUGUUUAUCAUUUAAGACUCUGGGAUAGGACCAUGACCAUGACCAACCAAAUGAGUCAAACCAUCCAAUACCGAACCAAAAACCAUAACAUAAAUAAAUCCAAAACUAUUCCAUAACAUAAUAAUAUGGAACAAUCACAAAUCAAAUACAGUCAACCGGUAUCAACCAUAAUACUAAUACCAAUGCCAAGGUUGACACCAAUGUCGACACUGCCCAUAUUAACCCAUAGUAGUCUUACAAAUCCUCUAUUCGAAAGUAAACAAAAUCCGGUCAGGACAUGACCCUGACCAAAGCUAAAACCAAAGUCUAAGAAAUAACCAAAGUGUGAUGACAAGACCCUAACAUGGCCAUUAUUAAAGCUAUGGCCAUCAUUAGAUUCACUUAUUAAAUUCACUUGAGGGAUUCCCAUAUACCCCACAAGGUUUUUAAUCAAAGUCAUGGCUAUUAAGGCCUUACAAUUUAGCCAUUAAAACCAUUUAACCAAUUUAGGUUCCAUUACCAUAUUAUACCAUGCAAAGUUUUCAAUAAAAGUCCAACUAUAUAAUAAAAGCAUUUUUAUAAGAAUUUUAACAAACAUAUUGAGGGCAUAUAGUUUCCAAAACUAAAACCAAGUACCAAUUGACCAUUCUUAUGCAACCACAUGUUCAAACCACCAUUAUAAUAUGAAAACCAUAAGUAAAAACUUGGAAAAACAUCAAUCAACCAUUAAUAACUAAAUCCCCCAACAUAUAAUUCAAAACCCAAAACUAUAUCACAAUUAUGUCAUAAAAACCAUUCAUAAAAUAUGUCAUUAGUUGAACUAACAAUGAGGGAGGAGUAACAUGCCUUAAAUUAUGAAGAAGACGGAGAAAAAUCACCCCUUUAGAGCCUUAAUUUACCACCUUGAAGGAAACCCUAGUCUUUGCUUAAACCAAGAGCUUGAGAGAGUUUAGAGAGAGUUUAUAAGUGUAUAAGAUUAGAAUAAUAGGGUAAAUGGUGUCCCAAUAGUGUUUUAAGUCGUGGGGUCAUAAAGGGUUAAGACGGGAAAUGUCCAAAAUAGUCCCAACUUAAACUAUAAAAAUUCUCGCAGAAAGGUACGACUCCCCUCUUGAAUCGUAUCCACAUCAUAUGAGUGGUACCCACCACUCGUACCCUGGAUAGGAUGUUGGACAUCACACACUGUCCACCAUACGUGCCCCAGUCGUACCAUAAUCGUACGAUCCGUACGUUCAACCCAUACCCCAGGUAGAAAUAUUUAGGCUGGACACUGGACAACAUACGAUUUAGAUCAUACCACUCGUACCCUAUCCUUACGGAUCUUAGUGAGCCACUCGUACUCAAAGACAAGUCAAAUUACCAAGUUUCAGAUUAAGUGAAGGAUUAACCAACCAGCCCGUCAUCAACCAUAUGAACCAUACCACUAUACCAUAACCAAACCAAAAACUCAACCACCAAAUACUGGUUAGCAUACAAAUUGGGCUACAUAACCCGUAUCCUCACCAUUCAACUCGUAUGGUGAGUCGCGUGAUCAGCAGAGACUAAAAACCCAGGAAAUUUUCUAAGGACGAAAACCCACGGUGUUUUAUUUUAGAAUGAAGUCAAGUCAAGAAACAUGCAAAUUUAGGGGAAGUCUGAACUAAAUACAUCAAAUUUCCAACAUCUGGUGUCAUAAGUAUAGAUCAUCUAGUAAAUACAUUCGAAAUCCUGAAAGUACAAUGUCUUUCUCCCUAAACAAGUAAAGAUAUUAAUAAGAUAAGAGAAAUUCCGGAGUCAACUCUGAAAGCGCUAGUGCAUGCCAAUAUCUCAAAUCACCAAUCUUUGACAGCACAUAUUAGCAACCACACAUUGUAUAUGUGCUAGGAACUGCACCGAAAGUACACAGUAGGAAUGAGUAUGUAGAACAGACAUACACGAGGGUAUGUAGAAACUGAUUAAAUAUCAAGUAGCACAUGAAAUGCAUAUGUAAAUACAAUGUAAGGAAUGAUAAAAUAAAUGAUUUGAAAGUUAUCACAUGACUUUCUAUAUACACCAAUCGAGCCUCAAUGCUCCUAAAAUAGGACCCAUGAAGGGUUCAUAACCUGUAUACUAUCUCACAUCUCAAGCUCAUAUCUCAAUUCCACAUGAUCGACACAUCCCCCAGUCUAGGUAUUUUUAAAAGUGUAUCGUUUUGUUUCAAAAUUAGAGUUUCUCAAUGGUGCCAAUAUCUCAUGAGUGUGUAUGCAUGUAAUGACGAUGUGAUGCUCACGAUCAAAUUAGCAUGAAGAUGACAAAUCCAUUCAAUACGUGUAUAGUGAGCCCAAAAAUUAACUUAAUAUUAUCAACAUUUCAUGAUAUCAGUUCUAGUUUGGCACUAUUAGAAUAAAUAUGCAUGUAAGACAUUAUUAGUAUCAUAUCAACCCAUAAGUCAAACAUUUCUAACAUGAUAAAGAUAAACAAUGCUCAAUAUGGCCUAUAAUAUCAAUUCAAGCCUCCGUACGGACAUCACAUUGAAGAAUAAAAAUAUUCAAAUAUACAAUAAAGCCAAUGAUCGCAUGGUCAAUAUGCAAUAUACAAUACCAUAAAUUAAUAACAAUAGAAUAUAAGCCCACACACAAUAUAGAAUAGCCCAAAAAAUAAUUUCCAUAGUUAUUUUUCCCAAUUCAUAGCAUGUUUUACUUAUUUAUUAACUUUCCAAUUUAGUUUGAAGAAAGUUAAGUCAUAACCUCCUCAAACAAUCAAAAUUCAAGCUUAAAGUCCUUCAAUGCAAGGCCUUCCCAUUUCAAACAUCCUCGAAAUAAACUAAAGCGUACAAAUACAACAUCUACGCAUUAAGAGAGAGUUAAUGAUACCCAUAUAACUUAUAUUGAAGCUGGAUCCAAGGCAGGUUUCGGAAACAACAGGGGUAAAAUUGAAAUUUUAUUUUAGAAACUCAUUCUCCAAGUUUAUAAGAGUCUACAGUAUAAAGCCCACAUAGAAAUAAAUUAAAAACAGGGUCCAAAUCGAAUAAAAUCUAUUUUUAAAAGGUGCUUUCGAAGUCUUAAUCAAUAUAAAAGAUGAGUUUAGAGAUUGCCCAUAUGAAAAUGAUGAAGAAACCCAAGCAAAAAUCAUUUUUUUUAAGCUUGGAGGUCUAAAAAUGAAGUAAAAUUGCGAUCGCGGAUCCUGCAAAGGUCAACAUUGAUUAGGCCACUUAAAUGGCCUUCACAUUCGCGAUCAGAGCUUCACAUUCGCGAAGGUCCUGAGCCAAACACAUCUCAUUUGAGACAACCCUGUUACGUUUGCGAAGAAGGGCGAUACCUGACUCGGUCCCGGCUACUCCUCGUGAUCGCGACUCCUUCUUCGCAAUGGCAGUAAAAGAAAAUACCCUUCUCCGCAUUUGCUGCCAAAGGCCCACAUUCAAUAAGAAGGAUGCGGUUUGCACCAGGCAUUAGCUAUUUCACUGAAAUGCAUGUUUUAAAUUCUCCAAACGGACCCUCGAGAUUCAUUCGAAAACCCACAUAAAUAAAUCAUAUAUGCUACUAGGCUAUUUGCGACAUUUCAAACUCAAUGUCAAUGUUGGGUUUUCAAAAAGGGAUCAUUUUCAACAAAUUAGUCCUCGGGAUUCCUAUUAGGCAAAUUUCACUAGUUCUCAAACAAAGGGGCGAAAUAUAAAAUAAAGAUUCCGAACCCAAAUCAACCCCACUACUAACCUAAAUUUCGAUAUUGUGGAUCUAAUGGAACUGUCCAAAUUGCCAUAAAACACUCAAACUCUCCCAAAAUCUUCCCGAAGACAUUGAGAACUAUGCCAAUCACCCAUAUACCCAAAAUAAAUGUGUAACUACUACGGAGAAGGACAAAAUUGUCAAAUCAUAUAAAAAAAUAAAAUUUCAUAAAUCAGGUCAUUACAAAGUGUGACUUUCUUCAAUAAAUGAAAAUUGUGCUAAAAGGUAAAAUAAGACAAAUGAACUACAUAUGUCUAGGUUUUCUAAAAAGACAAAUAUUAUGAAAUAUCUAUUUUUAAUAAAAAUAAUGAAUAUUUAAAAUAGGGAAAUUAUUUAUUUUGAGAAAUCAAAUAUAAUGAACAUAAAUGUUCUAUUUAUAGAGAACUUUUUGACUUAAUUCCAAAGUAACUAAUCCUAAUUUUUCUAAAAAUAAAUAAAUAAGCAAACAUUGCCAAUAAUACACAAAAUAUAUAUUUAUAUAAAAAAUUAUAUUUUGACUUAUAAAUUGGGAAAGGUAAUCCAUUCCACUCCGAUACUUCUACCUCUACACUCCCCAUACCCUCCAAAAACCCUUUUCAAUCUCCCGCCGUCCACGGCGGCGCACCCCUCCCUCCUCCGUCAUCCCCCGGCGAACCACCAAUGGCAACCACACCAGCUUCCGAACUCUCCGACGGACCAGUCCUAAGCGUUAUCAACAAGCGUCUUCGUGCUCUCCGCAAAAAGCAAAAUCGCAUUCUCCAAAUGGAAGAAUCGGUUUCAAAAGGUAAAAUCCUCAACAAAGAACAAGAAGAAACUCUCCGCUCCAAAUCGACGGUCAUCGCUGCUAUUGACGAGCUUGAAAAGCUUCGUCAGCCACUUGCUGCUGCUGUAGCUGAAGAAAUCAAUCAAGUUUCCGCAGUUUCUAAUACGGAUACGUCGAUUAUUGAGUCUAGUAAAGUGGAGGAUUUACUUAAACUGUUGUACUUUGGUCACAUGUUUGAUGUGGAAUCCAUGAAAAGUGAUUUUGUAACGCCUACGAUGUUGACUAGGACAAUGGAGAGAGCUUGUUGUUUGAGUUAUGAUUGUAUGCCGGAUGAUGAAUCAAGUGAUGUGAUGGAUCUGUUAGGGGAGAGAGAUUUGGAUUUGAUUUCGACGCUUAGCGGGUUGGUUGUUUCACGGCCGGUGAAUUCUCCUUUGUCACAUAAGCAUGCUCUUCAGAAAUGUAUUGAACAUGCUAAGCUGUGGCUUUCGAAGUCUGAGCAGCCCAUUGAAGUCAAUUCCGAUGCUACUUGUGAGUAUAGUUUUUCUUCUCCCAAGAAAAUGUUUUUGAAUCUUGUGGUCUUACACUAAACAUAUGUAGAGUGUACUGUAAUGCCCUUUAAUUUCGUGGUCUGAAAUAUUCCCGGGGGAAAGUUAAAAAUACUUAUGCAGUUCAUUUUGAGGCGGACUUAAAAAGGAAAAUAGGACAAACGAAUUGAAACUGAGGAGUAGCAUAUAUCUAUAUUAAGCGUGGUUACUAGUUUGGAUAGGUUUAGUUGUUGUCGUGGUCAUUGUUAUCCAGGUGUCGACAUAGUUUAAUUGUUAGGAAAUGGAUAUGAAGGAUUAACGUAUCUAAGCCUAACUAGGUUGGAAUGAGGUUUACCUGUUGUUGUAUGUAAAUUUGGAGUUUUAGCUAGAUAUGUCAAUUUUUUGGGUUCUCAGGGUGACUUUUAGCUGGUUAUGUACCCAAUUUUGCAGAUGCUGGGCUGAGAUCAAAGCUGGAUAAGAUCAUUGGUUCACUAUAUUUUACGACAGACCCUGUUAAAGUGGAGGCAGCUGCUGGUAAAUAUGGGUCUUAUUCAGUGCCAGUAGAAGAGCAUGUGGAGCCUGUGCCAGUUGAUGUACCCCUGCAAGUCGAUGCCCCAAGUGUGCAGUAUGAGCAGAAGGUAAAUGCUUACAUAAGUAAAGCUUCUAUAGUCUAUUACUAUAUGUAACGUCUGAAAACAUCUUGCAAACUUGCGGGAAAUUUGAUUGAGUGUUGGAUGCACAUGGACUUUGCUUGUUUUUAUAAUUUAAUGACUGAAUGGAAACUUUAACUCAUUGAUCAUUCUGUUAUAUCCUUGUUUGCAAUUGCUGUAUAGUUUAUGUAAUUGUUGAGGUAAUGUUAAGACCUAGUGAGUCUUCUGCUUAAGUUGGUAUCUUACCUUGCAAUUCACUCCUGCGGUACUUCAAGUGCACAAGCCUCCGUUCUACACUUCUUUUGAAGGAACAAGGUAUUCAUAUGAUUUGCUGUGUCGAUUUUUUUAACUUGUUAACUUGUAAGACUUUGCAUGUGUCAUAGCCUCUAGGUUAAUGAGGGGUGUUUUUUCCUAUUGUUUUGGGGGAAGGAUAUGCAUAUAAGUUGGUUUGGUUUAUAUUUUUCUGAAACAAAAAUACAUGUUUUCCUUGUUAUUGAUUGUGUCAUAAAAAGCUCAUAAUUUCUUCUACAUUGGUCUUCGCUGUCAAUUAUAAAAAAAACUUCUUAAACACAGGUCAUUGUGUGCUAUGUUAUCAAUUAUAAAAAAACUUCUUAUACAUGGGUCAUUGUGUGCUAUGUUAUGGUGGUCUUAGAUGGAGGUUCAUAAGAGUGAUAUUAAUAUCUUGGAUAAAAUUUUUGUUGCUAUAAAGCUGUUCUAGAUACCGUACAGUUUCCAUCUGACUGUCCAUCCUCUGCUGUGCUAAUGUUACAUGACUUCAAUUAUGUGCACGUGUUUAACACACAAGUUUAGAAAAAGUAGGCAUAAUUUAGUUGAUUGAGAUA